rnacentral:lncRNA from 1 species
UCUUCCUCUACCCAUUUUGGCCUUGAACCUCUGUCCCGUAGUCACAUCUUCGAACCGGAGCGUCAGUAGGCCUUCUUUGCACAUGUCCAAACCACCGUAACCGAUUUUCUCUCAUCUUUCCUUCAAUUUCGGCUACUCCUACUUUACCUCAAAUAUCAUCAUUCCUAAUCUUAUCCUUUCUAGUGUGCCCACACAUCCAACGAAGCAUCCUCAUCUCCGCUACACCCAUUUUAUGUACGUGUUGAUGCUUCACCGCCCAACAUUCUGUGCCAUAUAGCAUCGCCGGCCUUAUUGUCAUCCUAUAAAAUUUUCCCUUGAGCUUCGGUGGCAUACGACGGUCACACAACACGCCAGAUGCACUAUUCCACUUCAUCCAUCCAACUUGUAUUCUAUGGUUGAGGUUUCCAUCUAAUUCUUCUUUCUUUUACAAGAUAGAUCCGAGAUAGCGAAAGCGGUUGCUCUUUGGUAUUUCCUGAUCUCCGAUCCUCACCCCUAACUCAUUUUGGUCUCCAUUUGCACUGAACUUGCACUCCAUAUAUUCUGUCUUUGAUCGGCUUAGGCGAAGACCUUUAGAUUCCAACACUUCUCUCCAAAAGUUAAGCUUCGUAUUUACCCAUUCCUGAGUUUCAUCUAUCAACACUAUAUUGUCUGCGAAAAGCAUACACCAAGGGAUAUCAUCUUGAAUAUGUCUUGUUAACUCAUCCAUUACCAAUGCAAAAAGGUAAGGACUUAAGGAUGAGCCUUGAUGUAACUCUACAGUUAUGGGGAAGCUUUCGGUUUGUCUUUCAUGAGUUCUUACGGCAGUCCUUGCUCCAUCAUACAUAUCCUUUAUAGCUUGGAUAUAUGCUACUCGUACUUCUUUCUUCUCUAAAAUCCUCCAAAGAAUGUCGCUUCAAACCCUAUCAUACGCUUUUCCAAAUCUAUAAAGACCAUGUGUAAAUCCUUGUUCCCAUCUCUAUAUCUUUCCAUCAAUCUUCGUAAGAGAUAAAUUGCCUCCAUGGUUGAGUGCCCUGGUAUGAACCCGAAUUGGUUGUUCGAAACCCUUGUCGGACAACCAAUUCGGGUUCAUUCCAGGGCGCUCAACCAUGGAGGCAAUCUAUCUCUUACGAAGAUUGAUGGAAUGAUAUAGAGAUGGGAAAAAGAAUUUACACAUGGUCUUUAUAGAUUAAUUAUUCAAUAAGCAAUAAAAUUAAAAUAAGAAAACCUAUUCUACUCAUUCGUUGGCACUUCUGGUUCUUGUUGUAGUGCUGCAACGCGUUCAUUAUCAAACUACCACUCCCAGAAUCUCGACUUGAACGUAUUGUUGAUAGCCUUCAUUAGAUUUGGGUCACUUUGGUCAAUAUCCCAAUUGGGCUGUCAUGCAAAAAUUAAUAAAUUAAAAUCUCACUAUAAUAUUAUAUUUAACAAACAUAAUUAUUAUUUAACUAAUGAAAUUAACACAUAUAGCUAACUCAUCAAUCAUGCGCAUCUUCAGCUCAUCGGGGAUGUCUCUCCAAGACUCCCAAUCCGCAGCACAUUUGGUACGUACCAAUGCUCAUACGUCGGACCAAAAGAUGGUGUGCUUAUUUGACUUCACAACCCAUAUGAUUUCAUCAGUAGUGAUUCGGUAACGGCUCCCACCAUAAGUGUGUCGGACUGGUACCGCAACCUUUUUCUUCUUGUCUAUCAACAAAAUAUAUUUUCAUAAUACUGAAGCUAAAUAAAAACUUUAUACAAAAUCCAAAACUUUUAACGCAAACCUUUUCCAAAACCGCCAUCCGUUGUCUUUGAUGAACGCGCACCACUGUCGGCCAUCGUACCAAUACUCAAAGAACAAAUUGAUUAUAAUCGUCAUAAUUGUAAAGCGUUUCUGAAAUGAAGUGUGAAGAAUAAGGAGAGCAGAAACACAUAUUUAUAAGAAGGUUAGGGACUUUGCGUGACAAAGAGUUUGUCACACAAAUGUAAGAUCCCACAUCGACCAACAGAGAGGGUGUGAUGUGCCUUACAUGUACAUACUUCCCUCACUAUAGCAUGAGGCCUUUUGGGAACUCACUGGCUUCGGAUUCUAUUGGAACUCCAAAGUUAAGCGAGUUCGGGCGAGCGCAAUCCUAUGAUGGGUGACCCACUGGGAAGUUCUCGUCGAAGUUCCCAGAAACAAAUCUAUGAGGGAAUGGUAAGCCCAAAGCGGACAAUAUCGUGCUACGGUGGAGUCGAGAUUGGGAUGUGACAACAAACAUCUGUAGUAAAUACAGUAUUUAUUUCUCUGAUUCAGAUGCACCAAAUACGCUGACCUCACUACAACAAAUCGGUCCUUUAGCGAGAAACAAAUUGUCCUCGAUGUAUAGUACAUUUUAGCAAGGAAAAUUUCGAGUUCUUGCAAAAAUUGAGUUCAGUUUGAUCUCCACACAUGUCAAAGAAACAGCAAGAAAAAAAAUUCUUUAUGCAAGGAAAUAUUUUUGUUGUUGUACAUAUUACUAGUGAGAACAAUUUAUUAUCUUGCUGUAAGUUUAGCGGAAAUUAUUUUUGCUUCUCACCAAAAUAUUAGCGAGAAAAUUUUUUAUUUUUCUCACUAAAUAAAAUUUUUAGCGAGGAAAAUUGAAUUCUCGCUAUAAUUGAGUUCAGUUUGAUCACCCUUUUAUUCACUUUUUUUCCUGUUGAUAGCCCAAAACCAUUUCCAAGUGUUAGAAAAAAAAAGAAGAGAAAACAUGAAAUCUCAAAUAAAAUCAUUUAGUCUCUUUCUCGUUCAGACACUCUCUUUGCAGAAUGAGAAAGAAUUAAGGACGCUACACUCUUGAGUGUUCUGAAACACUCUCCAAACUCACUCAUGUUGGUCGACGACGAUAGUGGUCACUGGUAAGCUUUGGCCCUCUUCUCUUCUCCAAUCCCCCUUUUCUUCGUUCUCGUUUUUGAACCCUAACGUUGAUUCUCUUUUCCCCAUUCUCUCUUUGUAGCUUCGCGCUCCAAUUCAUCUUUUUUUAUUGGGUUCACUUUGCUUCUCUCUUUCUAUUUCCCUUUAUGUGGUAAUUUUGUUCAUAAAUAGACCCUAUUAAAACUGAAUUUAAUUUAACUUUUGUGAUUUUAUGCACGAAUGGUUGUAGGUGAAAUUUUCUUGGGAUUUUAACCUACAACACGAAUUGCCCAUUUGUUUAAAAUAACAAAUUGUUGUCUCUUUUCAUUUCACCUACAACACGAAUUGCCCAUUUAUUUAAUUAAGCUUUUUCUAUGGGAUUUCAUCUUUAUGUUGUAACUUUUGUCUUUGCUAAUGUUUUAAUUGAUAAAUUGAUAUGAUUCUAACUAAUUUUUUUCAUUUGUUAUUUAGGGUAUAAUCGUGCAUUCUUGGAAAAAGGUUUUGGUAAAUUCUCUACAACUUUGUUUUAAUGAAUGGAAAAUUUCAUUUGUCUAUCUUUUUAAUUCAUGUUUGGGUGUAUCUGGGUUUGCAUUUGUUUACUAGGUAUGCCAUUUAUCCCAUUGGAAUUCCUCUUCAAUCCAAACACUCAAAAUUUUAUGCUCAAUAGUUUUAAUUAACUCCAUAUUUGAUAUGUAGUACAACUAGAGGGUUUAAAGUCUUUUUAUGGUGUUCACGACCAGAGGUCACUCUCUUUGCUCAUUCUUUUUAUGGUUAUUUAACCUUAUGUUUGUUUUUUUUUAUUACAGUGAUUAGUCAUUCAAAUACAUGACCACAGGUCACUCUCUGCUCAUCAUCUCUCUUUCUCUCUGUCUCCCAACCAUUUCUAUCAUGACCUCUCAAUUCAAAACAGCUGAUUUUGAUCAACUAAGGGUUGUGUUGUUAACUUAUAUUUUUUCAAUUGGCAGUAGGAGAACUAUAAUUCUAGUUGGAAGUCAUUGAGUAUACCAUCUGCUUUAUCUCCUCUUAGGCAAGUUGUUUGACUUCUAAUUUUAUUGUUUUAACCUCUCAUGUUGUCCAUGUUGGGAAUUAUAUGUGGAUUUUGAUUUAUAAGAUAUAGAUAACAGUUUUUAGCGAUGGAUCGAAGUUGGAUGUUCCUUAGACAUAGAUUUUGUGAUGCGUUCACUGUUGGUUUAAACUCUUUUAUAUUGGUUGUAAACAAACAUUUGAACGAGAAUCUUCAUACAAGACACGUUAUCCAUGUAGAGACUGCCUAAAUGGGAAUCUUCAUUCUUUGCAUGUUAUUUGUUCCCAUUUAAAAAAGUGAGUCAAAUGACCUAAUAGAGAAUGAUAGUGAAAAUGAUAGUGAUAGUGAGAAUCAUGAUGAUCACGAGACGUUUGAGAUGUUACGUAGUUUUCAAAGGGCAAUAGAUAUGGAAACUAAUGUGAUGUACUUGCAUGUUUUGAUUUUAGCAUUUUCAUAUGGUUAUGGUAAUUGGAGAAGCUACUAAUGUGUUAACUUUGUUAAUUUUUCUUCUCGAAGAAUAUCACUGUGGCAGGAAAGAAGAAGCGAAUCCAUUGUGACUUUUCAAGUGAGGCAUCAAUAGACAAUCCACAAAUUAAGGUUGUUGUAGUUAUAACUUCAAACAUUAGGGUUGAUGCUGUUAUAACAUCAGGCAGUACUCAGGGGAGUGCUAAUGGUAUGCCUUUUUAUAAAUCUCAAAAGUGUUAUGUUUUAUAGCAUGAUUUCAAUUGGUUCUCUUUUUCCUUGGUCCUCAUCCUUCUUGUUCCUCUUGUUUUGUACUUUCUUUGUUUUUGUAAAGGGUUCUUGUAUCUUGUGUUAAAUAAAAUGUUUUAGUUGAACAAAAGAAAGAAAAAACGAUCAAAGACCCAUGGAAAGAAUUUUGACAAACUGCAAGAGCAACUUGGUGGUAAGAUAUUGAUAUGUCACUCCCUCAUGGUAGUACAUAUAUUAAGAAUGCAUUACAAAGACGGUUUGUUGAUUUUCGACACAGCUGAAGAAGCAUUUUGAUUCCUAUCCAACUCUAGAGGAGGCACAACAAAACAAACAUGAGGAUGUAACUAGUCAUGAGGAAUGGAAGUUUAUUUGUGAUCGUUAUGCGAGUGUUCAAUUCAAGGUACACAUGUAUACUAAUGAACUGAAAUGUUGUUGUCAUGUGUGUUGUUUAUCUUCUUCAUGUCACAACAUUUAAUUUUGCUAUGCAGGAACAUUCAGAUAAGAAUGCUAUCAAUAGGUCUCAUUUGACUUACAAUCAUAAAGCGGGGUCAAAAUCCUUUAGGGCCCAUGAAUAUGAGAUUGUAAGAUGUUUUUUUUUUCAUAAUUUUAAUCUAGAUUCUAGGUGGAUAAAGGAGAUUAACUUUAGUUUGUGAUCCAUGUAUUAGGAAGCCAAAAGUGGAGAGCAACCAAGUGCAAUUGAUUGCUUUGAGGCUAUGCACACAAACAAAAAAACUGUUUGGGAUAAAGGAGCUAAACUAAAGUGGGUAAGUUAGUUAUGUAUUUUAUGAAUCCUUGACAAUAUAUGUUACGUGAAGAAAUAUUCAAGCAUAAUUUUUUUUUACUUAAAUGUGAUCAUAUUUUUUUACUUAUAAUGAAUAUUUUAUGCCCCAAAACAUAUUUUUUUUGUCUGUGAUAUAUAUCAAGAGCACACACAUAUCAUCCAAAUUUACUUAGUAUAUUUUGUUGAAUGAAACACAAUAUUCGUAGUCCAAAUUCAUUGGCUCCCUGUAAUUCUUGGAGAUACAUGCAGAUUGUGUAUUCACUUAGUUAACGUGCUGUAUUUUCAUUUGUAGGAAGAGAUGAUAGGUAUGAAAAAUGACACAACUCUUCCAAAUGGUACUGUGACAUUGACAGAUGAUGAAAUUGUUUUAGAGGUCCUUGGUCACAAGUCUGGGUACUUCAAGGGUCCUUCAAAGUUUCUUUCUUUUGAAGACUUUGUGUUGAGCAAACAUUUAGAAGAAAGAGUUGAGACUCAACAACAAGAGCUUGUGACAACAAAACAAGAGCUUGAUGAAACAAAAGAAAAGCUUGGUGAAGAAAAACAAGAAAUCCAAGAAUUGAAGGAGAAUCAAAAGAAAUUUGAGGAACUCUUACACAAAAUAAUGGAAGGCCAGCAACCACCUCCAUAGGUAGUCCUUUGGUUAUGCUGGAAUAUGUGAACUUUCAUAGUUGCUAUCCAUUAAUCUUCACCUAUUUUGUAGACUAUGAAUUAUCAUUGUAAACUAUUUAGUGUUUUGGACUACUAUAAUUAAGUUUUAGUACUUUUCAUCAUUCAUUCUUGGCACUAAAUUCCAAUUAUAGGGAGAAACCAAAUUCUCACAGUAGGUUACUUAUGAGAAUGAUUAUCUUCAACUCACAACAUGGAAUUUUACCUUCAUCAAAAUUCUCACUAAAGGCUUUGCUAUAGUAAGAAAAUAAAUGUCUUUUGGAUACUUUUCAACAAUGAAAUUUAGUCUCACAAUAUAUGAUCUACAGUGAGAGAUAAUAUGUUCAUUGCUGUAAAACUUACUUACAAAUUCCUCGCCAAAAAAUUCUAUAGGAGAAAUUUGAUUAUUUUUGCGAGGAAUUUUGUCCUCGCACAAGUUAUUGAAUGUCAAUAAUUAGGUUGUCAAAAGGUUUUGGCAACCACAUUCCUACCCUUUUAGCGAGAAAUUAUCACCGCUUUAACUCCACCGUGAGAAUAAGUUCCACUCUUGCUGUAUCAUUUUGAUGAGGAAAAACUUCCUUGCUAUGUACCUUCCCCGAUGGGCCUACUACGAGGAAUGAGCGAGGAAAACAUUUCUCGCUAAACAAGUAUUUUGUUGUAGUGCCUAAAACUAAACGCCUUUUGAGCAACGAAGGGUUUGUCGUGCAAGGUUUUGCACAACGACGUCCUUUGUCACGCAAAUGUUGUAGCAAUGAAACUAAUCCAUUGUAAUUAUGAAGUUUUGUCAUGCAAACGUUGUAGCGAUGAAACUAAUCCGUUGUAAUUAUGAAGUUUACGUAAACUUCAUAAUUACAAAUAAAUUUUUAGUUAUAAUAUGUAUUCUAAAAAUAUUUACUACCUUAAAUAAAUUGAUAUUAUAUUCCAAUCAAUUAAUACCUUAAAUAAAUUGAUAUUAUAUUUCAUUCAAUUAAUACCUUAAAUAAAUUAAUAUUAUAUUCCAUUCAUUUAUUCAAAUAACCAAACAGGAAUUAAAACCUAAGUAAGUCCAAAUACAUAACCUAUAAAUAAAAACCUUAAAUUUAAAUAUUGUCAUCCAAAACAUAAAUUUAAAACUAUUAUUUCGAUGGUACUGGUCCAUUUUGCAAGACUUCAUAACACCAUCGAUUGGAACCUCCCUCAAAUGCAUCAUCCAUCAACUUCAUCAACUGUUUGUUCGUAUCAUCAUCAAGAGUACUGUUACACAUAUAUGCAAAUAAUUAAUUCUAACAUAUAACAAAAAAUUUCAAAAAAUUAAUUAUUGAUCCAUGAACAGUAUACUUACUAAUAAUUCAUCCAUCACUGCCUUCUUCACAUUCUCAGGCACAUUUUUCCAAGAACACCACUUAGUAGUAGGACAAUUAUUCCCCAUGUCUACAGCAAUCGCAUGCGCGAACUUAAAUAGCUGUCUUGGAUCAUUUGGGUUGGCGGCGGGAACGCUCGCAUCCUUGUUUUUAUCCUCCAUCCCAGCAUGAACAGAAUUGUGAAGAAUAAGGAGAAUAGAAAUGUGAAGAAUAAAGAGAGCAGAAGCGAAUAUUUAUAGGAAAGUUAGGGCCUUUGUGCGACGAAGGCUUUGUCGUGCAAAGACCCGUACUAAAUCCAAUCCAGAUUCUGUUGAUUCACACGCACUGAAUUGUCUAAUUCAAAAUUGACAACAACUUGCGCGACGAAGUCUUCGUCGCGCAAAUGUUCCUUUGAUUCCCAUGCUUUGAACACUCUGCCCAAAAAAUUGAAGGAUCUUUGUGCAACGAAGUCUUUGUCAAGCAAAGUUUUCCAAAGAAAAUAGUCUUUGCGCAUUUAUUUCGAGCCCAAAAAAAAAAUCCCCCGUAGUUUUCUUACUAAGUUUGUGUGACAAACAUCUUUUUUUCGUCGUGCAAACUCUCUUGCAUGACAAAGGUCUUCGUCGUGCAAAUUUCACCAACCUUGCACGACGAAAGCUCUCUUAUCGUUGCACAAAACACCCUUGUGCAAUGGAGUUUUCUUUGUCGCGCCAAUAAUUUUUCCUACUAGUGAGACAAGCAACUUGGGAUGUGGAUUAAUUUACUUGUAGAAUAAGAAAAAUCCAAAUUACACCAUUCAAGAACACUCUCCGUAGUUCUUUCAAGAACAAAAAUACCUCAAAAUCCGAUUAAAGCCAAAACGAUCUCCACUAGGGUUGGGAUUGAUUUCAAUUGGUUUGGUGUUGUGCCAAAAUCGAAAACUGAAACAAAAGUACUGUUCGGUUUGGUUAGAUUUUUACUAGAGUUUUGUUCGGUUUGGUUUAGUUUCAGUUGGGUUUUUUUUUUUUUUCCAGUUUGGUUUGGAGUUCGGUUCUGCUUUUAUCUUUCAUAUGAUGCCUAACGUCACACAACAUUGCAGCUUAGUCAACAAGAGGAACUAAAAAGGCUUUACUACGCAAUGAACUUAAGAUGGCUUAUAAUAGGGAUAGUGCUAUUCACACUUAUUUUUAUCUACACACACUCUUGUUAAUUUUUUACCAUUGAUUUUCUUCAAUUCAUUGAAUCCGAUGACAAAACAUUGAGAGGAAUAUGUGAAAAGUAAAGAUGCGUGUGUGGAUAACACUACCCUACAAUAAUUCACAUUGUUUCACAAUGCUUAAAAGCAAAUAAAAGGAACUUAAAGGCAUAACAACUAAAGUUCGUUUGAUGUCAGUUACUUAUAAUUGAUUCAGAAGGGAUGAACUUGCAUCAGUAUCUCAAUUUCAAUUCAACCAUGGGUUUAAUUCACACUUCAUGAAUAGAGAAAUAUUUACCAUCCGAAAAAAGGUAAAAACGAGAUCUUUGUCCAAAAAAAAAAAAAGCCAAUAAUUUUGACAUUGCUUCCUCAAACAAAACCUAAUCUAAUUCUAAGUUUUCAUUCCCAAAUCCCAUAACAAACCUGACUGCACAGACAAUAGUUUAGUUAGGUGCAUGUAGGUCAGAUAAAAAUUUGAAAGAACAGUUCACGGUGUCUCAUUGUCUAUCAUAGUUAAACCAAAUAGAAGCAUCAAACCCCCAACCCAGACCUAGUUUACAUUACAAACAAGAAAAACAAAAACACACAAUAACCUAAUCACAUGUCAAAACAAACUAAUUAAGUAGAUGGAAGAUCCACCCAAAUAUCAAGAGAGCAGAGUCAGCGACUCAGCAGACCACCCAAACCUUACCUCCAUUUUUAAUCCUCCACAACACAACUAAUGAAAUUGAGCGCUCGUUUAAUUCGAAUUUGAAAGAUACUUGCCAAGGAUAAAGUUUUGAAAUUCCUUUCUUUCUGUGGAAGCCAAGUGCAUGCCCAAUCCCAAAGGAAAUCACAAUCCAUACGAAAUUAAGCCAACUGCAUACAUUUGCCAUAUAUAUAUAUAUGGCUAUUGUUGUUUCCUGACAUUCUUCCCCUGCAGAAAUUCUCUUGUUAAAAAAUCUGGAAUGCAAUUAUGGCUGCCUUUAAUGUAUUCAAUUUCAAAAUAAAAAAUACUUAAUAUGCCUUGCCAUCGUACAAAAAUCUGUUUGGAUGCAAUGUUUUGAACAUCUUUUUGUAAAACAUGUUUUGCAGAUUUGCAAUCAACACGGACUAAAAACUUUUGAUUUAAUAAAUCAUCUUGAAAUUUGCUAAUGCAUAAUACAAUAGAUAGUAUCUCUUUCUUAAUAGUACUAUAAUUAGUUUGUGCAGGAUUCCAAACUUCUGAAUGGAAACGAACAAUUUGUUCAGGAGAUUCAGAAGAAAUUUUUUGCUUAAGGAUACCUCCAUAACCUGCAUCAGAUGCAUCCGUUUCAACUAUUUUAAAAGAGUUGGGAGUUGGAAUGCCAAGAUAAGGCAAUGUCUUAAUAUGAGUUUUAAUCUGUUUGACAAUAGAAGUAUAGACCAUGCUGGAGGAUUAUCGUUAAGACGAUCAAACAAUGGUUUACACUGCUGACGAAGAUGAGGAUAGAAUUCUGAAACAUAAUUUAAUGAUCUAAGGAAUCUUUGAAGCUGAGUUUUAUCAGUAAUCUGAUCUGGGAAUUUAUCAACAAAUUGAAUGACUUGAUCUAUAGGUUGGAUGGUAGACUGAUGGAUAUUAUAUCCUAAAAAUCUGACAUUAGUCUGAAACAGUUUGAUCUUAGAAGCAGAUACAACUAAUCCAUUGGACAUAAUGAUUCUAGCAAACAAAUGCAGAUGUUUCCAAUGUUCGUCUAUUAACUUUGAAUAAAUAAGCACAUCAUCAAUGUAAACAAUCGAAAAAUGGCUAUGUUGAUUAAAAAUCUCAUUCAUAAUAUUUUGAAAUUCACUUGGUGCAUUUUUAAGGCCAAAAGGCAUUGCAUUCCAUUCAUAAUGCCCAAAAGGAGUUACAAAAGCUGUUUUGUAUUUAUAUUCAUGUAUUUGAAUUUUCCAAAAGCCUGAUUUUAUAUCAAAUUUUGAAAAAAUAACUGCUUAAGAAAGUCUCUUUAUCAAAUCCCUUUUGUUGGGAAUUGGACACCGAAUCCAUUCUAAAACUUCAUUCAAAGGUUUAUAGUUAAUAACUAAUAUGGGAGUUCCUCUCUCUAAUUCUGCGUUCUUUUGAACAUAAAAUGCAGGGCAUGACUAUGGUGAUUUACUUUUAUGGAUAAUUCUUUUAUUAAGAAGUUCUUGGAUCUUUGUUUUCCAGAAUUCCAUGACUUAUUGACUCAUUUGAAUUGGUCUGGCCUUAGUAGGGAUUUUUGACUCAUUAAACUCCUUUAUAUAAGGAAGUUUAACAAUAUGUUGUUUACGGUGCAAAAAAUCAUUGGGAAUAUCAGAACAGACUUCAUUAACAAGUUUCUCCUGAAACUUAUCAAUAGAUUUUAACAAAGAAUUAUUUGUUAGCUGUUCUUUAAUUCUUUUGUGAUUAAUUUCUUCUUUUAAGAAAUUAAUGUAUUGAGACUUAUUAGUGAUAAUACUAAUAGUUUUUGAAAUAUUAUUUUUCUGUAAAUGUCUUAGUUUUUUGAGAUUUGUUUCCAGGCAGAACUCAAACGUGACUUUCUGUCCUAAGACUCUAGUGGUAAUCCUAUUGUGAUGAAUCUUAAAAGGAUAUAUGCGUGCUUAAAAUGGGAGACCUAAUAUGACUGGAUUAGAAAUAUUUUUUAUUAAAACAAAUGGGGUUUUAAAACAAAUAUUAUUUUGGCAAACAUGCACUUUAGGAAUUUCAUAAUUUAGAUGCAUUGGUGAUUGGUUUGCAGCACUAAGUAUUUCUGUAGACUUGUGAAAAUACUUGGUAGGUAUUAACCUUUCUUGAAUACAAUUCAAGUCUGCGCCCGAAUCAAUUAAAGCUAUAGUUUCUAAAUGAAAAUCUUCAAUUAUUAUUCUGAUUUUAGAAUACCUUUCUAGAUCCUUAUUUUGUCUAAAAGACCUAGGACUAAAUUCUCUGUGGAUUGAGAACCUGACUCAGAACUGGAAGAAGAGCUGGCAAGUUCUUCUUCACGAGGGUUUACUAACAAAUGUGUUUGGACUUUACUAAAUUGUGUUCGGACUUCUAGAUUUUCGGACUUUAGAAUCUCUUGCAGGAGAUCUUGGAUAGUAAUUUCUUUCUUAGUCUUAUUAAACCUUUCUAAGGUUGUGCUAAGAGAGAUUUUUGGAGUAUAAUGGUUUUGGCUAGUGCCAGGUUUAUAUGAGGAAACCAAUUUCUUUAGUUUCUUUAGAUAAAAAGUUUUAAGUUCAGGGUCAUCGACUUUACCUAUUAAUUCAAGUAGAAAAACUUCUUGUUCAUCUUAUUUAUUUAGAACUGAGAUUUUUUUAUUGCAACAAGAAUCGAUACAUCCGACCUUGAUGUUUGGAGAUGAGCUAAUGCUCGAAGAAUUGUUAUCAGAAUAGGAUAAUUCCAAAUCAUCUUCUGAUUGACUAUGGUCUGUGUCUUUUAAUUAUAAAACUUGGAUCAACUGAAGCUUCUCUUCCUCAGAGAUCUUCAACUGGUUGAUAGUUUUCUUAACACGACAUUUGUUGGCAUAAUGGCCAAAUUUGCCACACUUGUAGCAUUUGCCCUUUUGGGUUUGGUCUUUGGGUGGAAAUUUCUUGGAAGAUUUCUUCUUCCAUUUGGAAUGUUUAGGUUUUUCAUAAAACUCAUUUCUUUCAAAAAUCUUAUGUUUAUAUUUAUUACAUUUGGGAUGUCGUUUGGAGUAUUUGGUUGGAUACCUAUUGUAGGUAUCUAACAUUUUCUUUUUGUUGGAAUGAGCAAUAGAAGGUAAUCCAUAUUAUUCACAAAACCUUCCUAGUUCAUAUUUAGCGAUGGAUGUGUCUUUAUUAACUUGUUUUGAAAUUUUCAUAUCUAUACACAUUUUCAAUCCUUCAUUCUGGAUAACAUUGAUUAUAUUUCCAUAAGUAAGGGUAUGAUAUAGUAUGAUUCCAUCUUCGUUUACUAAAAUAUUUCUGAUUUUAUGUGCAAAAAGAUUUGGUAAUCCAUUUAGAAAUUUUUCUUUCCAAAAUGGUUGAUUACUGUCUUCUCUGAGCAUGAUUCUAGACAUGAACACAUCUUUGUACCAUCUAAAGUUGCUUAGAGUUGGACAUCUCAGAUUGCUGAGUUGAUCAUGGAUCCUAGAGGUGACAUUACUAAGUGUUCCUAUGAAAUGUUCUACGAUUGUGAAAAGAAGUGUAUUAAUUACAUCAGGGACGCCUUGUCCAAUAUUUUCAUCAAAAAUAGGUAAGCCUUCUUCAUCUUUUUUAACAACAUUUAAUAUUUGAUUUCUGGAUUGUUCAAUGAGAUGUUUCUCCCACCAGGAAUGAAGCAUUCCAGUAAAUCCAGUGACCAAAAGGUCGACAACUUGAGGUUGGCUAAGAUUAUGAUUGGUAAUAUAACUUGUUGAUGCACAAAAUCAGUGAGGACUUUGGUACAACAGAAAGUGUUAAGUUUGUGACCUUCGCUAGAUUGCUCCGGUUACUAAUGUGGAUAAGUAUGUAAAUGGAUAGAGAUAGGGAAGCAAACACAAGAUGUACGUGGUUCACCCAGAUUGGCUAUGUCCACGGAGUAGAGGAGUUCUCAUUAAUUGUGAAGGGUUUACACAAGUACAUAGGUUCAAGCUCUCCUUUAGUGAGUACAAGUGAAUGAUUUAGUACAAAUGACAUUAGGAAAUAUUGUGAGAGAAUGAUCUCUAUUUAUAGAAGAGAGUUUCUAGUUUCAUUCUGACAUUGACACGUGUCUUGUUGUGAUUGGCUUCUGAUGUUGACACGUGUCGCACUAUGAUUGGCUUCUGAUAUCGACACUUGUCGCGCUGUGAUUGGCCUCCUGGUUGGAGGGAAACUCUUCUGGGUCCUUGACGGUAUAACGUUGACCGGUGCUCAGUAGUUUCAGGAUUGGUCAAGUAUGGUACAAACAGUGCUCCCCUAAGUUCCCGAGUGAGGGAAGCUCAUCGAUUGGGGACUUGCAAGAUCCAAGCCAUUGAGUAAUCACGAAACUUCUAAGUACCGAAGUGUGGUAUCAUUUUCACUUGAAGCUUACUUGUAGUUUCGGGCUUAGUCAAGUGCGAUACAAAAUCCUAUAGUAGGAGUCCCCCAAGUCGCCGAGCUAGGAGAUUUGCCGAAAGAGGUAACAGACAAAGUAAGCAAUCAGACUUCCAAGCAAGAAACUUGGAUUAGAGGUUCGACUUCGACUUCCGGUUGAUUGUUCUCUUUCACUUUAUGUCGUAAACAGCAACAAGGAUAAGGAGAAGCAAAUGGAGAAGAGAUGAUAUGAGAUACUUUUGCUUUUGAAGAAGUAACUUUCCACAAGCUUAUUCUUGAACUGGACCGGAGGGUUUGUUGGUUUCCUCUAGAGUAUAAGGCCGACUCAAGAAUUUGAGGGUCAAAACAAGUCCAUCAAAUCAAGAAUGCGUUCGACCUUGAUGAUAUGGGAUACUUUUGUUGUUGACGAAGUAAUAGAUGAAUUGGCAUGUGUUCUGUUGCGCUUGUCUCCACAUGCUUCCUUGUAUCCUUCUCACUUGCCCUAUCCGUUCCUCAGGCAGAUGUGGUAUCUUUUCAGGAAGCAUAAGAUGUUGAAGAUGAGUACUCGAGAGCAAUGCCAGAUAAGUAAUCAGGCAAGGGGUUCCAGCCAGUCAGUUCCUGAUUAGAAGCUUGAUUCCAAGUGUUGACUGAUUGCUCUAUUUCUCCUUGUCUUGCAGGUAAGAACAAGGGCGAAGGAAAAGACAGGGAAAAAACAUGAUAUGGGAUACUCUUGCUUUUGACCCUGAUGAUGUGAGAUACUCUUGCUCUGGUGUGGCUAGUUUGCAUAGGUGUUAUUGGGGGGGAAGAAAGCUGAGUAUUUCGAGAGGCUUCGUUGGGAGUGCCCUCUCAGAUAUGAGGAAGGGUUGAGCAUUUUUGCAGAUCUGCCUGUCCGUGGGGGAUGAAGGUCAACAUAUAUAGGAGUCUCCCUACCAACAAGUAGUAAUGCUAUUCCUUUACCCUUCUUAGUCGUAGUAAUGUAGUGGGAGCUGCAAGCUUCACGUGUUUUAACUUUAUCAGAGCACUUUGAAAAAGUGGUAUGUGGUAUCUAGAAAGCUGAUGUUGCAUGUGAAGAUUGCAGACAAGCUUUAUUCAAGGAAAUCUGGCUCCCGAAGUUCGGAGAGCAAUGCCUCUUUAGUUUUCAAACAAGCAAUCCUGUCGGGGAUCUGGCUCUCGAGAUUCGGAGAGUGGUGCCUCUUUGAUUUUUGAGAAAGCAAUCCUGUUGGGAGUCUGGCUCUUAAGAUUUGGAGAGCGGUACCUCUUUGAUUUUUAAGAAAGUAAUCAUGUUGGGAGUCUGGCUCUCGAGAUUCAGAGGGCGGUGCCUCUUCGAUUUUUUAGUAAGUAAUAAUGCUAUUCCUUUACCCUUCUUGGUCAUAGCAAUGUAGUGGGAGCUGCAUCAGAGCGCUUUGAAAAAAUGGUAUGUGGUAUCUGGAAAGCUGAUGUUGUGUGUGAAGAUUGCAGACAAGCUUUAUCCAAGGAAAUCUGGCUCUCGAAGUUCGGAGAGCGGUGCCUCUUCAGUUUUUGAACAAGCAAUCCUGUCGGGGAUUUGACUAUCGAGAUUCAGAGAACAGUGCCUCUUCGAUUUUUGAGAAAGCAAUCCUGUUGGGAGUCUGGCUCUUGAGAUUUGGAGAGCGGUGCCUCUUCAAUUUUUUAGAAAAUAAUCCUAUUGGGAGUCUGGCUCUCAAGAUUCGGAGAGUGGUUCCUCUUCUAUUUUUGAGCAAGCAAUCUUGUUGGGAGUGUUUUCUCGAAUGUGAGUAAAGGUUGGGCAUUUUUGCCAACCUGCCUUGCCAUGGAGCACGGAGGUUGACACAUAUUGGGACUUUAUAGUUAUCAAGCCGUGAUGCUGUUCCUUUACCCUUGUGGGUAAUAGUAGGGUAGCUAGACCUUCAAAAUUUAUGUGUCUAAACUUUGUCAGAGAUCUUUGGCAAAGUUAUCUGUGAUACCCGAAGAGUUAAUGUUGCGUGUGGAAAAUGGUGCCUCUUCGAAAUCCGGAGAGUGGUGCCUCUUCGAUUUUUUAACUAACAGCCCUGUUGCCCUUUCUUUUAUAAGGGCACCAAUUGUGUGCAAGGAGUUCAUUUAAAGAGUUAUUGCUUGUAGGAAUUUUCCCCUUACUUAAGAGAUUUAUUGCACCUCAUUUCUCCUUCAUCAUUUCUGAGAAUGUUUGGCCCAUCCGACCGUCGGUUUGACUUGAACUUUGGUGAAGAGGCAGCCAUGCCUUCUUAAGACAACAUAUGGCGCCCAUCCUUCUUAUCCCCUACUGGUCUUCUUGCCAUUGGGGACUCUAUGAUGAAAAAUGAUAUGACCGCUGCGGUGGUGGCCAGGAACCUUCUCAUUCCCAAAGAUAACAAACUACUAUCCAAACGGUCUGAUGAGUUGACUGUUAAGGAUUCUCUAGCUCUCAGUGUUCAAUGUGCAGGUUCUGUGUCUAAUAUGGCCCAACGCCUAUUUGCUCGAACUCGCCAAGUUGAAUCAUUGGCGGCUGAAGUGAUAAGUUUCAAACAGGAGAUCAAAGGGUUCAAGCAUGAGAAUAAACAGUUGCACAUGCUCGCACAUGACUAUGCUACAAACAUGAAGAGGAAACUCGACCAGUUGCAGGAAUCUGAUGGUCAGAUUUUACUUGAUCAUCAGAGGUUUGUGGGUUUGUUCCAAAGGCAUUUAUUGCCUUCGUCUUCUGGGGUUGUACCGCGUAAUGAAGCUCCAAAUGAUCAACCUUCUUCUGGGGUUCUGCCUAGUACUGAGGCUCCGAAUAAUCAUCCUCUGGUGCCUCCUAUUUCUAGGGCUCUGCCGACUGCUGAGACUUCUCUCGAGCAACCUUUGUGAAGGCUCCCUCUUGUUUGUUUAUUUUGAUUCAUGUAUAUGUACAUAUUUGUAACUUAUCGGAGAUAUCAAUAAACAAGCUUUGCUUCAUUCAACGUAUUGUGUUAAAUACACCAAGGCCUUCUUCACUAAGUUCGUUGAAUUUUUUCCUUUUGUUGAAGCUUGUAUGUUAAAGCUUUGUGAGUGAAGCAUGUAGGUUGAGGUAGUGCUCCCUUAAUUUCCCGAGUGAGGAAAACUUCUCGUUUGGAGACUUGAAAAAUUCAAGUCACUGAGUGGUCGUGAGACUUCCGAAUAUCAAGGUGCAGUAGCAUAUGGUAGGAGUCCCCCAAGUCUCUGGUCGAGGGAGUUGAUGAAUGAGGCACUUCCUUUCUAAGUGGUAGCCCAAAACUCCUUCUUCAUAUAUAUUUGUUAUGAAAGUUGUUAAGCCUAAUGAAGAGGAGGCCUAGGCAAUUUUUUUUUUUUGCGAAAUUAUUUUUUUUCGAUUUUUUUUUCUUUCGAAUUUUCGUAUUUUUUGAAUUUUUGAAUUUUCGAAUUUUUGAAUUUUUGAAUUUUUGAAUUUUCGAAAAUAUAUAUUAAAGCUUUGUAGGUGAAGUUUUGGUGUUGAAGCUUUGUAUGUGAAGCUUUGAGGUUGAAGCUUUGUUGGGCACCAUGAAUUGAUUUUGCUUCACACUAUCUUGAUCAAGAUAGUGUGAAGCUUUUGUAGGUGAAGGUUUUGUGGGUCAAGCUUUUGUAGGUCAAGCUUUUGUGGGUGAAGCUUUUGUGGGUCAAGUUUUUGUGGGUGAAGCUUUUGUGGGUGAAGCUUUUGUGUUGAAGCUUUUGUGGGUGAAGCUUUUGUGUUGAAGCUUUUGUGGGUGAAGCUUUUGUGUUGAAGCUUUUGUAGGUGAAGCUUUGGAGUUGAAGCUUUGUAGGUGAAGCUUUUGUGGGUCAAGCUUUUGUGGGUCAAGCUUUUGUAGGUCAAGCUUUUGCGGGUCAAGCUUUUGUGGGUGAAGCUUUUGUGUUGAAGCUUUUGAAGGUGAAGCUUUGGAGUUGAAGCUUUGUAGGUGAAGCUUUGAGGUUGAAGCUUUGUUGGGCACCAUGAACUGAUUUUGCUUCACACUAUCUUGAUCAAGAUAGUGUGAAGCUUUAGUAGGUGAAGCUUUUGUGAGUCAAGCUUUGGAGUUGAAGCUUUUAUUGGGUACCAUUAAUUGAUUUUGUUUCACACUAUCUUGAUCAAGAUAGUGUGAAGCUUUUGAGAAUUUGUAGUUGUCUUCUAUUGAUGAAGCUUUUGUUGGUGAAGCUUUGGAGUUGAAGCUUUUUUUUGGUGAAGCUUUUGUUGGGUACCAUGAAUUGAUUUUGCUUCACACUAUCUUGAUCAAGAUAGUGUGAAGCUUUUGAGAAUUUGUAGUUGUCCUCCAUUGAUGAAGCUUUGGAGUUGAAGCUUUUGUUGAAUUUCCUUUUUUUUUUUUUUUUUUUUUGGAAACUAGAAAUUUGAAAAUGUGGGAGAGACAACAUAUACAAAUUUUGAUUCCACACUGUUGAGCAAGAGAUUGUGAUGCAAGCCACACCUUGUAGUAGUUGAAGGUUUGGAUGAACCAUAUAAAUUGAAUUUGCUUCGAACAGUCUUGAAUUUGCUUCGAAGGUUUGAGAAUUGUAGUUGCCCUCCAUUGAUGAAACUUUUGUUGGCACCAUAAAUUGGUUUUUCUUCACACUGUCUUGAUCAAGAGUUUAUGAAGCUUUUGAGAAUUAUGGUUGAACUCCUUUGAUGAAGCUUUUGUUGGCACCAUAAAUUGGUUUUGCUUCACACUAUAUUGAUCAAGAGUGUGUGAAGCUUGUGAGAAUUGUGGUUACCCUCCAUUGAUGAAGCUCUUGUUGGCACCAUAAAUUGGUUUUGCUUCACAUUGUCUUGAUCAAGAGUGUGAAGCUUUUGAGAAUUAUGGUUACCCUCCUUUGAUGAAGCUCUUGUUGGCACCAUGAAUUGGUUUUGCUUCACACUGUCUUGAUCAAGAGUGUGUGAAGCUUUUGAGAAUUGUGGUUGCCCUCCAUUGAUGAAGCUUUUGUUGGCACCAUAAAUUGAUUUUGCUUCACACUGUCUUAAUCAAGAGUGUGUGAAGCUUUUGAGAAUUGUGGUUGCCCUCAAUUGAUGAAACUUUUGUUGGCACCAUAAAUUGAUUUUGCUUCACACUGUCUUGAUAAAGAGUGUGUGAAGCUUUUGAGAAUUGUGGUUGCCCUCCUUUGAUGAAGCUCUUGUUGGCGCCAUAAAUUGGUUUUGCUUCACACUGUCUUGAUCAAGAGUGUGAAGCUUUUGAGAAUUAUGGUUACCCUCAUUUGAUGAAGCUCUUGUUGGCACCAUAAAUUGGUUUUGCUUCACACUGUCUUGAUCAAGAGUGUGUGAAGCUUUUGAGAAUUGUGGUUGCCCUCCAUUGAUGAAGCUUUUGUUGGCACCAUAAAUUGAUUUUGCUUCACACUGUCUUAAUCAAGAGUGUGUGAAGCUUUUGAGAAUUGUGGUUGCCCUCCAUUGAUGAAACUUUUGUUGGCACCAUAAAUUGAUUUUGCUUCACACUGUCUUGAUAAAGAGUGUGUGAAGCUUUUGAGAAUUGUGGUUGCCCUCCUUUGAUGAAGCUCUUGUUGGCGCCAUAAAUUGGUUUUGCUUUACACUGUCUUGAUCAAGAGUGUGUGAAGCUUUUGAGAAUUGUGGUUGCCCUCCAUUGAUGAAGCUCUUGUUGACACCAUAAAUUUAUUUUGCUUCACACUAUCUUCAUCAAGAGUGUGUGAAGCUUUCUACGAGUUGUAGUGUUUGCAUUGUUAUAGUAUGGAAAUGUUUGAAGCAGAUGCAAGAGGGCUGAAUAGCUUGAUCUUCGUAUGCCAUACACUGAAGUUGUUGUUGGUCUGCAAUAAGGCUUUGUUGGUGACUAUAACUCUUGUUGGGCAUAAGUGCUCCCCUAGUUGAGUUGUCAAGCUUGAGGGUUUUUGAUUAUUUGUGAAUGCUAGGAGUUCACAUGUACAAGUUGUACCACUCGUCUUCUGGUAGGUGGAAUGAAUGGUGAGUUGCUUUCAUCACUUGGUUGGUGGUACAAAGGUGAGUUCCUUCAUCACUUUUCAUCACAUUUCAUCACCUGGUUGGUGGCACGAGGAUGAGUUCCUUCUUCCCCUGGUUGGUGGCAUGAAUGGCAAGUUGCCAAAUGAUAUUAGAGUACGGGUUGUACAUUUCAUCACCUGGUUGGUGGCAUGAAGGAGAGUACGGGUUGUACAUUUCAUCACCUGGUUAGUGGCAUGAAGAUGAGUUCUUUCUCCACCUGGUUGGUGGCAUGAGUGGCAAGUUGCCAAAUGAUAUUAGAGUACGGGUUGUACAUUUCAUCACCUGGUUGGUGGCAUGAAGAUGAGUUACUUCUUCACCUGGUUGGUGGCAUGAGUGGCAAGUUGCCAAAUGAUAUUAGAGUAUGGGUUUUACAUUUCAUCACCUAAUUGGUGGCAUGAAGGAGAGUACGGGUUGUACAUUUCAUCACCUGGUUGGUGGCAUGAAUGGCAAGUUGCCAAAUAAUAUUAGAGUAUGGGCUGUACAUUUCAUCACCUGGUUGGUGGCAUGAAGAUAAGUUCCUUCUUCACCUUUCAUCACCUGGUUGGUGAGAAUAAGGGCAAGGUGUCUAGGCACAUUGUAGCCAGUGUCGAAUGACACAAAGUAUGUUGAACCAUUUCAAAGAACAGUUGGCUUAUGUACGAAUGUGUUGGAAUGUAUGAUUGAACGAAUAUACUGUGAAGCUGUUCGUUUAUUUGUAUAGUCUUGUUAACAUAUACUUAUAAUUUGUUUCAUGUUGGAAGCAUUCAUGUUGAAGCUUUGAACCCAAGUGUUUCAUUGCUAUGAAUGAAAGAGGAUUAGGACCGAGUUGUCUAAAUCACCUAUUUAUUGAAUUCAUGCCAAAUAGUCUUCGUUACAUAGGAUGCCGAACAGCUGAAGCUUAACACUUGUACAAUGUGAGUUUACUUGUAAUAGUACUUUAAGUGAUCAGCGUUCCAUGGAUGGCCAAAGGUCUUGCCAUCGAAGCUUCUAAGCUUGUAGGAGCCAAGGCGACUGAUGCCAACAACUUCAAACGGUCCAUCCCAGUUUUGACUAAGUGUUCCUUCACUCGAGACUCAGUCGCAGAGUAAUCUUUUCUUCAAUACCUAAUCCUCCACUUUGAAAGAACGAGGUUUGACCCUGGAGUCAUAAUAGUUGGAGAUGCGCUGCUUGUAGGCGACAUUCCUUAAGUGAGCCUGGUUUCUGUGUUCCUCGACUAGAUCUAAGUUGAGGUUAAGUUGUUUGUCAUUUUCGCUUUACACGUAGUUUUGGACUCGGAAUGUUGCUUGCUCAAGCUCAACUAGGACAACUGCCUCUGUACCAAAGGCAAGUGAGAAUGGGGUUUCUCCUAUUGAUGUCUGAUACGAAGUGCGAUAUGACAAAAAAACUUGGGGUACAAAUUCUAGCCAACAACCUUUAGCCUUGUCCAAGCUGGUUUUCAAAGUUCGCUUGAUUAUUUUGUUGAUGGCUUCAACUUGUCCAUUAGACUAGGGAUGAGCUGGGGAGGCAAAAUAUAAGUUGAUGUUGAACUUAGAGCAGAACAUCAUGAACUUAUUGUUGUCGAACUGUCGCUCGUUGUCAGUGACUAUCGCAUUGGGAAUGCCGAAUCUGUAAAGGAUGUUCUUCCAUACGAAGUUUUCUAUUUUUGCCUCAGUAAUGGUUGCAAAGGGUUCUACUUUAGCCCACUUUGUGAAAUAGUCAACUGUAACGAUUGCAUAGUGAACCUUGCCCUUCCCUGCAGGCAUUCGGCCAAUCAAAUCAAGUCCCCAUUGGGCGAAGGGCCAAGGGCUGAUCAUAGGAGUGAGUGGCUCGAGAGGGGAGUGAAGAAUAGUUGCGUAGCGUUGACACUUAUCACAUGAGCUGGAUAUUCUGAUGGCAUCUUGGUGGAGUGUUGGCCAGUAUAUCCUUGGUGAAAAGCCUUGUGUGCUAGGGAUCGAGAUCCAGCAUGAUCUCCGCAGACUCCUUCAUGUAUUUCCCGAAUGACAGUUCCGCCUCUGCGGGAGUAAGGCAUCUUAGGUAUGGUAGGUUAAAACCCUGCUUGUAGAGUUGGUCAUUAAUGAUCAAGUAACGGGUAGCCUUGUAUCGAAUCUGCUUAGCUUGGACUUUGUCAUUUGGAAGGUGCCAUGAGGAAUCUAUAAAUCGGGGUAAUCCAACUAUCCCCCUGUUGUAAGUUGCACACUUCCGCAGCCAUAGUGCUUGGUGCUUCCAACAAUUCGACCUGAAUUUUUCUCCCAAUCUUGUCUUCCACCGCUGAGGCGAGGCGCGCCAAAGCAUCUGCAUGACUGUUUGCCGCUUGAGGAAUUUGGGUGAUCUGGUAGUGGAAGUGCUUAAGCAACAAUUGUGUUUGUGCCAGAUAUGCAGCCAUGGAGCUAUCCUUAGCAUUAAAGUUGUUGGUGACCUGGUUAACCACCAAUUGGGAGUCAUUGAAGAUAUGAAUUCGUUUAACCCCAAGGUGUUUGGCCAAACAUAAGCCUGCUAUGAGGGCUUCAUAUUCGGCCUCAUUCUUCGACGCCUUGAAUUUGAAACGAAAAGCAUACUCUAUCGCCACUUUGUUAGGGGUCGUAAGGACUAGUCCUACUCCACAACCUUGUUGGUUGGACGAGCCAUCAACAUAUAGACUCCAUGCUGGGGCUGUUGGUUCUAUUUUCUGAGCUUCCGAAGGUAAUGAAACCACUUCUUUAGGUGUAGAAACAAUGCCAACAGGAUAUGUGAAGUCGGCGAUGAAGUCUGCCAUGCUUGGCCCUUCUCAGCUGGCUUUAGUUGGUAGGAGAUGUCAAACUCACCCAAUGUUACCGCCCAUUUGAUCAUUCGCCCAGAAGUGUCAGGACUUCGGAGUAUCUGUCGAAGAGGAUAGUUGGUAAGCACGAUGAUGGAGUGUGCUUGGAAGUAAAGGCGAAGUUUUUGAGCAGACAUGACCAAUGCUAGAGCCAAUUUUUCAAUGUUGGAGUAUCGUGUCUCCGCAUCUUGUAAGGUCUUGCUAGCGUAGUAGACAGGCCGUUCGACAUUACCAUCCCUUCGAAUGAGAACGGAACUUACUGCUGAAGCCGAUACCGACAAAUAGAUAAUGAGAGUGUCACCAACCUCAGGUUUGGAGAGCAAAUGGGCUUUACUCAUAUAGUCUUUGAGGUUCUUAAAUGCCUCAGCACAUUCAUCAGUCCAUGUAAUGUACUUCUUACUUCCCUUAAGUGCUUUGAAGAAAGGAGCACAUCUGUCUGUGGCCUUAGAGAUGAACCUAGUUCAGGCUGCCACCUUGCCAGUAAGGCUCUGGAUAUUUUUUGAAGUUACCAGUUCUUUCAUGUUGAGGAUUGCUUUGAUCUUCUCGGGAUUAGCCUCAAUGCCUCGUUGGCUUAUCAUGAAGCCUAAGAAUUUGCUAGAGCCUACGCCGAAGGCACAUUUUGUUGAGGUUUAACCUCAUUCGAUACCUCUUCAGAAUGGUGAUAGGUUGGUGAUGUGUGGUCAGCAUGUUUGCUCUUGACUAGUCUAUCAUCAACGUAAACUUCCAUGUUCUUCCCAAUCUGUUCGGCGAACAUUGAAUUGACCAGUCUCUGAUAAGUUGCUCCUGCAUUCUUUAGGCCGAAGGGCAUGACUUUAUAGCAAUAUAGUCCCCUGUCAGUAGUGAAGGCUGUGUGCUCUUGGUCCAGAGGGUUCAUGAGGAUUUGGUUUUAUCUUGAGUAAGCAUCCAUGAAGCUCAGAAGUUCACACCCUGCCGUAGAGUCUAUAAGUCUGUCUAUGAGAGGAAGAGGAAAGUUAUCCUUCGGGCAUCCUUUGUUUAGGUCGGUGUAAUCGACACACAUUCUCCAUAAGACCUUUUGGAGCAAGAGACUUUCCUUGGUUGGAUUCUUCUUAACAAGGACAACAUUUGCUACCCACGUUGGAUAAUUGACUUCGCGGACGAAGCCUAUGCUUUUGAGUUUUUCAACUUCUACUUUCAUUGCCUCGUACCGUUCAGCGUCAUAAGAUCUUCGCUUCUGUUUCACUGGCUUGGUCUUAGGGUCAAUACUUAAGCGAUGACAGAUGAUAUCGGGAGAGAUGCCUGGCAUGUCCUCGUAUGACCAGGCGAAGACCUCAGUGUUCUCUUGCAAAAAAGAGAUCAAUGUCAACCGAAUGGGUGGUGACAAGGUGGUGCCAAUCUUCACCAUGCUAUCCAGAUAAUCUUUUGAGAUAGAGACCUUCUCCAACUCUUCAGCAGGUUGUGCUUGCUGGGUGAAAGAGUCAUCUCAAGGAUCGUCGGGUUAACUGUUGCCACCGUGAAGAUCCAAGUUGGCUUCGUCUGGGCUGGUCUUUAUGACUUGGUCAUGUAUAGAAAGGGUUUCCUUGGGCACAGGCAGGUGUUGUUGCUUAACCGAAUUGUUGUAACAUGAUCGUGCAUGAUGCAAAAUAUAUAAGCACACAAAUUAAACCCUCUUUUUGUCAAUUGUAGUAAAGUAUGUAAGUAGGGAUCGUUCUAGGUCGGGGAUUAGGAGGGAUUGCUAAAUCACUUGGAAACUGACUUGAAAACGUAAAAACAAAGUUUAAAACACUAAACUAGACUCAAAGAAUGCAAAACUAUACUUUAAAAUACUAAGAUAAACAAAAAGAUUCAAAACAGCAAAUAAACACUCAAAACUGCCUUAAAAACACUUUCUGGGCAGUUUUGAACACCUAACACUAAAUUGGACGAAAUUGGGUUAUGACUUGACUCAAGACACUUAAAAACACAAACUAAAGUGAAUGUAAGAAUAUCUUGCAUAUCUAUCAAUGUUUCAAAAAUAAACCCACACCCAAAAAUAAUUAAACAACAAAAAUAAAAAAUGACAAUCAUGGCAAAAUAGAAAUGCAGAAAAGGGAAGGUUUUUAGAAACGCAAAACUGAUUGUAGAGCGAUUCAUAGAUCUUCCUUUUUUGAAUACAUGGGUUGCCUCCCAAGAAGCGCUUUCUUUAACGUCUUGCAGCCGGACGAUACCUCCCGUCCCAUUCCCCUAGGUUCCAUGGAAGUGAUCUUCGAAUGGAAGGUGAUACUUGAAGUGAUCCGGCAAUGGUGUAAAUUCUAGUAUGGGUGCCUGAAUCAUCAAAAUCAGCAAGUUAGUGGAAAACGUAUGUAAAAUUGGAGAAUAUGACUUACUUGCUUUGUCCGACAAGAACUCAAUGACAAACACCAUAUUUUUGAAAGUUUCAGGGAUAUUAGACUUGGCCAGAUUGAAUGUGAUGGUUGGGACUUGUCCCAUGUCAUAAAAUUCAACUUCUUUAGGAAUGGUUGUCUCAAGCACAUCCUCUUUGAUGCAUUCUACAUCUUCUUCAGCCACUACUUUCUCUUGAAUCAUUCUUCUUGGUGUACAAGGUCCUUUGAAUAUUUCAACACAAUCUGGAACUUGAUUUGUUGCACCAAGAAUUGGAAUAUCAUUUUGCAUCUUUGGGAAGGCUUCCACGAUGUCUUUUUCACUUUCUUCUUUCAUGGGAAUUAAAAACCUACGAGGAAAAGGGACGUUCGGAGGAAUAACAUUAGAAUGAAAUGAAAUUGGGACGUCCUUACUUGUGGUGGGUGGUUUAGAGGGCUUAAGGGGCUGCGGCAAGGGUUGUUCUACCCUUUCCGUGUGUAUGUCUUCUUCCUCCUCCUCAAUCAGUAGCUCAUUAUCCACUUCUAGGCUAUGUUUGGAUGUUUUUAGGUUAGCUUCAAUCUCCAUAGCACUUCUCAAAGUGAUAGCAUCAUGGAUUUCAAAAUCUUCCUUCGAAUUUUCAAUAGUUAAGUUGGGGAGUUCACUCUGCUCUUGAAUUUGUGCCAUGAACUCCAUAAUCUGCCCAGGUUGCUUCUCCAAUUCACUCGCCUUCUUGGCUUGAUUUUGUAUCUCUUUGUUUUGAUUUUCUACUUUCUGGUUCAAAGAGGUGAGUAACUUAUUAAACAUAUCAUCAUCCAAAGAUGUACCUGAAUUGAAUUGGGCAGAUUGUUGUGGUGACUGUGAUGGUUGAUAUGGCCAGUGAUAGAACUCCUCCGAUGGUGGCAGAUAUUCUUCUUGUUGUGAGCCCUGCACCAUAGAGUUUAAUUCAUUAAGAAUUUGAUUGUAAUCUAUUGAUGAGUCUGAGUUUGAUUGGGCAUAUUGUAUAUGAGGUUGUGGUGGCUGCAUAGGUCCUGAAUAGAACUCCUCAUAUGGCUGCCAAUAUCCUUCAUGUUGAACUUGUUGAGCUUCCCACCACAUAGAGUUUGAAUGAUCACUCCAAUCUCUUUGUGGGCAUUGAUUGGCUUGAUAUCAUUGCCUAUAAGACGCACCAAAUGUAAGGACACUUUGCAUUGUGGUCCUUUCGGCAUACUGUGACAAUUGAGAAGUAAGAUUUGCCAAUUGAGUUUGAAUGCUAGCAAAAUCCAUGUCUUACUUCUCUAGUACCUAAAAUCAAAGAAAGAAAACUAAAUCAAAUAUCAAAAGUAAAACAAAAGACAUGAAAAAGAAACAACGGGGGAUUAGCAAAGUUGCUAAUCCCCGGCAACGGCGCCAAAAAUUUGAUGCGAAAUAUAUAAGCACACAAAUUAAACCCUCUUUUUGUCAAUUGUAGUAAAGUAUGUAAGUAGGGAUCGUUCUAGGUCGGGGACUAGGAGGGAUUGCUAAAUCACUUGGAAACUGACUUGAAAACGUAAAAACAAAGUUUAAAACACUAAACUAGACUCAAAGAAUGCAAAACUAUACUUUAAAAUACUAAGAAACAAAAAGAUUCAAAACAGCAAAUAAACACUCAAAACUGCCUUAAAAACACUUUCUGGGCAGUUUUGAACACCUAACACUAAAUUGGACGAAAUUGGGUUAUGACUUGACUCAAGACACUUAAAAAUACAAACUAAAGUGAUUACUAACUAAUCUAACACUUUGAAAUAAAUGGGAGAUUGGUUCUUGACGAAUUUGAAAACAAAACAAAUUGUAAAACAAAACAGAUUGUAAAUGAAUUUGAAUGAAACUUAUGGAUGGAAGGCUAGCUAGGAGGUUCUUCUCCACACAUGUCACACUUGCAUACAAAACGAUUUCCAGUUGCUUUUCGAUAAACUAUGAAUACUCAACGCCCCAAAUUAACCGUGAAUUGCACUAAUUAACCCUCAGUUUUUUCCACAAGUUAUUGGGUUGGAUGAUUGCAUACGACAACCCAAAACAUUCCCUACAAGUUCCCUACAUGAAUUGCAUAAUAGAGAUACAAGCAAGAAUCAUUAAGUUCUAUGAAAAACAUAAGCAUUGACGAGGCACUCGUUACUAUGAUUUGCAUGAAACUUAUGCCAAGAAUUUACUUAACGUGAUUGUGACUAGCAACCUUCACUACUUGUGAAUAUAAGUUCAUAACGAUUAGGUGAAACUCCCUUAUAUUCUAGCGUCAAAUUCAUGCAUGAAAAUUAAGCGUUCACUCUCAACCAACAUACACAAAUCAGUUUUUAUACGAACGGAUAAGUAAAUUGAAUUCACAACUUAUGAAUCACAACUGGAUGUAAUCAAAUCAUAUUGUAAGCAUGAACAUAGUUUCAAAUCACCCCCUAACUAAGAGGGGUUUAGUUCCUCAUGCUCGCAAUUACACAAAGAUAACUCAAAUUAAACAUUGAAAUCAAAGAUAGAAAACACCUAGAAACGCUCCAACACUCCCAAGGCUUGGGCAUAGGCACGGCACAAGAUGUUCCUUCUCCUUCCUUCCUUGCAAUAGUCACGGCAUAAGAGAGUUAGAACAGGUUUUGGGUGGUUUUUAUGGUGUAGAAUGGAUGGGGAAUGGUAUGGAAAGGUUUAGGGUUGAUGGGUGGUGUGGCUAGGGGUGGUGUUUGGCUGAAUUUUUAGAGAAUGGUGAUGGAGAGGUGCGGCUAAGGUAAGGGAUCAAAAUCUGUUUUCUUUGAUGAAUAUGAGAGGUGGUAUUUAUAGGUUUGAGAGAGGACCACUCCAUUUCCUUUGCAUGUGAGCUUGUGUGGGUGUGAGUUGUCAUGUUUCCCCUUUACAUUUACACACACAUGCUUCAUCAUUUCCACAAAAACACACCAUAAUUUCUGCCAUGCCGUGUGCUCCAUGUGCUUGAUGCUGCCAUGUUCUUUUCUUUCCAUGUGUUUGCUUUCUUUGCCAUGUGUUUGCUGCCAUGUUCUUUGCUUUUACCAUUACACUUGCACACACACAUGUUCUUUGCAUCAUUUCAACCCACAAACACACACAUGCUUCAUCAUUUCACCACAAACACACACCAUAAUUUCUGCCAUGCCGUGUGCUCCCAUGUGUGUGCUGCAACAUUCUUUUCUUUGCCAUGUGUUUGCUGCAACAAGGGGUUUAUUUAAAGGGAUAAAGGAAAUAAAACCCUAGGUUAACUAGGUAAACAGAAAUUAAGUCUAAAGCUUCUACAAUUUAGGGAAACAAAUCAGAAAUUUAAAGGGAAUAAGCUAAAAUGUGUGGCAAGGCUUUGUAGUAGAUUAGGAAAGUGUUUAAAUGCAAGAUUUAGGAAAGAAUGACUCUUCCUUGCACGGCAAGGAAGAGUAAUGGCAAGGGUGGAGCACACGGUUGGUUGCUUAUUUUUGAACACUUCGUUCUUUAUUUGUCUUGAAUCCAAUUCUUCACAUCAUCAUUCAAUCCUAUGCUCAUUUGAUCUUCAAUUUCGUCCGUCUUCUUACCUCCAAGCAUAUGCAAUCCAUUUGAUAAACAAAAACUGCUCCAAACGACUCCAAAAUGCACAUGUAUGCAUACUUUGUCCUUAAAACCUGAAAACAUAUAAAAGUGACUUUAAACACUAAAAUAACUAAAGAAACACAACGUAAACGCACGAGAACAAGACAAUUAAGUCGCAUAAAUAUGCUCCUAUCAGUGCACUAAGUUGAUCUCUUCUGAUGUAACCAUUGCCAUAGGGGGUUGGAAAUUUCAUCAACAACAUAUGUGUGGAUACCAUGGCCUUGAGAUCAUUGAUGUCUGUGCGUCCGAAGAUGACAUUGUAUGUCGUUGGACAAUCAACCACCAGGAAGUUAGUGGUAAUGGUAGCUGUGUAAGAGCCUAUACCAAUGGUGAAAGGUAAGUGUAUGCUCCCCAAAGGUUGCACGAUAUCACCGGAAAAGCUUAUCAGAGAGGAAAUCGAGCGAUCGAGCAAGUGUUCAGCUAUAUUAAGUGCCUUGAAAGCUUCAGCAAACAUGAUAUUGACCGAAGCCCCCGUGUCUACCAGGAUUCGUAGUACUUCAAAGUUUGCUAUGUAAGCUUCCACGAUCAGUGGGUCGUUGUGAGGGUAGAUGAUACUCUUCUUCCUCAGGUAGAAACAUAUUGGAUCCCGGUUAGGCUUUUGAUACUUACCUCCCUGAUGUCUUCCACGUGAAACACUUGGUGGCCAGACCUUAAAGCUCGUUCACUAUUUUUUAUGGCCCUGUUGGAAGAUUUAGAUAUGGGUGUGCCACCACUUAUGGAAUAUAUCACAUUCACCUGCAUUGGUUACGGUUACCCCUUGGAGGUGAACGAGGAAUUGAAUCAAUUUUUCCUUCAUGUGCCAAAGCUUCAAUAUGAUCACGAAGGGUGAUACACUUCUCGCCGUCAUGGCCAUUAUACUUGUGGUAGCAGCAAAAUGUGCCCGUGUUCUUCGUGGGCUUGUAAUCCGGGUGCCUCGGCUUUGGCUUCAGUAUCAAGUGUGAUAUGCUGGGGUAAAUGGCCACGCAUAUGGCGUUCAAGGGUAUGUAUGCCUCAUACCUCGGGGUAGGGGUUGUCCUGACACGUGCUUGACCCAUUGUGUUGACUGUCUGGGGUCGAGGAUUAUCAUGGCGAUACCCUUGGUUAUCGCGGUAGUGUCCCUUACUCCUUUUAUUAAAAUGAGACUGAUGAGGAUGGAAAUCUUUCCUUUUGCCCUGAAAUUGAUAUGUCUGUUGACUUGGCAAAGUAUUAAGUAAGGCAGGGGAGACAUUGCUGCCGUUAGAAGGUUGAGGUCUUCUCAUUUGUUGGAUCUGGCUUCCACUCCCACUUGCUGAUAAAUGGUGGUUGUGGGGGGUUUCCUUGAUAUGUCCUUGCCUCGGCGGAGGCCUGGUUGUAAGCCUGUACCAUCACCUUCAGAGUAAGUCUUCCAAGUGUUGGCAUUGAUCAUGUACUUGAAGAAACAGUCACAUAGGCCUGCCGUGAAGGCUUUGAGGGCAGUCUUGUCGUCUGCCUCGGCACAACGGGAAUUACUCAUGGCUGAAGCGGCCAACAUACAUUAAGUAAUUACUCGUCUGGCUUUCUGGCGAAUAGUGUACAAGUCAUCUGCAGAAUGCAAAGCGAUCGGUCUAGAAGAUGUGUUGAGAGACAAACAGUUUCCUCAGUUCCUCAAAUGAGUCUACUGUCGUAGGUCGAAGACGGCAAUACCAGUUUAGAGCUCCGCCAGAAAGGUGGAGGGGAAGAGAAGACAUCGCUCUUCAUCGGUGUGCAUCCGAUAUGCCAUGGUGGACUCAAAGAGGUUAAGGUGUUCGAGGAUCCUCCUUGUGAGAGGGCUAGGCCUGGUUGGUUCCAGUCAGGUAUCUCGGCCUGACGUUUCGGCCUUCAACUUGUUUACUUCCUCAAGGAGCUGUAGGACANAAAAAGAGAUCAAUUGUCAACCGAAGGGUGGUACAAGGUGGUGCCAAUCUUCACCAUGCUAUCCAGAUAAUCUUUUGAGAUAGAGACCUUCUCCAAACUCUUCAGCAGGUUGUGCUUGCUGGUGAAAGAGUCAUCUCAAGGAUCGUCGGGUUAACUGGUGCACCGUGAAGAUCCAAGUUGGCUUCGUCUGGGCGGUCUUUAGACUUGGUCAUGUAUAGAAAGGGUUUCCUGGGCACAGGCAGGUGUUUGUUGCUUAACCGAAUUGUUGUAACAUGAUCGUGCAUGAUGCAAAAUAUAUAAGCACACAAAUUAAACCCUCUUUUUGUCAAUUGUAGUAAAGUAUGUAAGUAGGGAUCGUUCUAGGUCGGGGAUUAGGAGGGAUUGCUAAAUCACUUGGAAACUGACUUUGAAAAACGUAAAAAACAAAGUUUAAAACACUUAAACUAGACUCAAAGAAUGCAAAACUAUACUUUUAAAAUACUAAGAUAAACAAAAAGAUUCAAAACAGCAAAUAAACACAAAACUGCCUUAAAAAACACUUUCUGGGCAGUUUUGAACACUAACACUAAAUGGACGAAAUUGGGUUAUGACUUGACUCAAGACACUUAAAAACACAAACUAAAGUGAAUGUAAGAAUAUCUUGCAUAUCUAUCAAUGUUUCAAAAAUAAACCCACACCCAAAAAUAAUUAAACAACAAAAAUAAAAAAUGACAAUCAUGGCAAAAUAGAAAUGCAGAAAAGGGAAGGUUUUUAGAAACGCAAAACUGAUUGUAGAGCGAUUCAUAGAUCUUCCUUUUUUGAAUACAUGGGUUGCCUCCCAAGAAGCGCUUUCUUUAACGUCUUGCAGCCGGACGAUACCUCCCGUCCCAUUCCCUAGGUUCAUGGAAGUGAUCUUCGAAUGGAAGGUGAUACUUGAAGUGAUCCGGCAAUGGUGUAAAUUCUAGUAUGGGUGCCUGAAUCAUCAAAAUCAGCAAGUUAGUGGAAAACGUAUGUAAAAUUGGAGAAUAUGACUUACUUGCUUUGUCCGACAAGAACCAAUGACAAACACCAUAUUUUGAAAGUUUCAGGGAUAUUAGACUUGGCCAGAUGAAUGUGAUGGUUGGACUUGUCCAUGUCAUAAAAAUUCAACUUCUUUAGGAAUGGUUGUUCUCAACACAUCCUCUUUGAUGCAUUCUACAUCUUCUUCAGCCACUACUUUCUCUUGAAUCAUUCUUCUUGGUGUACAAGGUCCUUUGAAUAUUUCAACACAAUCUGGAACUUGAUUUGUUGCACCAAGAAUUGGAAUAUCAUUUUGCAUCUUUGGGAAGGCUUCCACGAUUCUUUUUCCACUUUUCUUCUUUCAUGGGAAUUAAAAACCUACGAGGAAAAGGGACGUUUCGGAGGAAUAACAUUAGAAUGAAAUGAAAUUGGGACGUCCUUACUUGUGGUGGGUGGUUUAGAGGGCUUAAGGGCUGCGGCAAGGGUGUUCUCUACUCCUUUCCGUGUGUAUGUCUUCUUCCUCCUCCUCAAUCAGUAGCUCAUUAUCCACUUCUAGGCUAUGUUUGGAUGUUUUUAGGUUAGCUUCAAUCUCCAUAGCACUUCUCAAAGUGAUAGCAUCAUGGAUUUCAAAAUCUUCCUUCGAAUUUUCAAUAGUUAAGUUGGGGAGUUCACUCUGCUCUUGAAUUUGUGCCAUGAACUCCAUAAUCUGCCCAGGUUGCUUCUCCAAUUCACUCGCCUUCUUGGCUUGAUUUUGUAUCUCUUUGUUUUGAUUUUCUACUUUCUGGUUCAAAGAGGUGAGUAACUUAUUAAACAUAUCAUCAUCAAAGAUGUACCUGAAUUGAAUUGGGCAGAUUGUUGUGGUGACUGUGAUGGUUGAUAUGGCCAGUGAUAGAACUCCUCCGAUGGUGGCAGAUAUUCUUCUUGUUGUGAGCCCUGCACCAUAGAGUUUAAUUCAUUAAGAAUUUGAUUGUAAUCUAUUGAUGAGUCUGAGUUUGAUUUGGGCAUAUUGUAUAUGAGGUUGUGGUGGCUGCAUAGGUCCUGAAUAGAACUCCUCAUAUGGCUGCCAUAUCCUUCAUGUUGAACUUGUUGAGCUUCCCACCACAUAGAGUUUGAAUGAUCACUCCAAUCUCUUUGUGGGCAUUGAUUGGCUUGAUAUCAUUGCCUAUAAGACGCACCAAAUGUAAGGACACUUUGCAUUGUGGUCCUUUCGGCAUACUGUGACAAUUGAGAAGUAAGAUUUGCCAAUUGAGUUUUUGAAUGCUAGCAAAAUCCAUGUCUUACUUCUCUAGUACCUAAAAUCAAAGAAAGAAAAACUAAAUCAAAUAUCAAAAGUAAAACAAAAGACAUGAAAAAGAAACAACGGGGGAUUAGCAAAGUUGCUAAUCCCCGGCAACGGCGCCAAAAAUUUGAUGCGAAAUAUAUAAAGCACACAAAUUAAAACCCUCUUUUUUGUCAAUUGUAGUAAAGUAUGUAAGUAGGGAUCGUUCUAGGGGUCGGGACUAGGAGGGAUUGCUAAAUCACUUGGAAACUGACUUGAAAAACGUAAAAACAAAGUUUAAAACACUAAACUAGACUCAAAGAAUGCAAAACUAUACUUUAAAAUACUAAAGAUAAACAAAAAAGAUUCAAAACAGCAAAUAAACACUCAAAACUUGCCUUAAAAACACUUUCUGGGCAGUUUUGAACACCUAAACAAUAAAUUGGAACGAAAUUGGGGUUAUGACUUGACUCAAGACACUUAAAAAUACAAACUAAAGUGAUUACUAACUAAUCUAACACUUUGAAAUAAAUGGGAGAUUGGUUCUUGACGAAUUUGAAAACAAAACAAACUUGUAAAACAAAACAGAUUGUAAAUGAAUUUGAAUGAAACUUAUGGAUGGAAGGCUAGCUAGGAGGUUCUUCUCCACACAUGUCACACUUGCAUACAAAACGAUUUCCAGUUGCUUUUCGAUAAACUAUGAAUACUCAACGCCCCAAAUUAACCGUGAAUUGCACUAAUUAACCCUCAGUUUUUCCACAAGUUAUUUGGGUUGGAUGAUUGCAUAUACGACAACCCAAAACAUUCCCUACAAGUUCCCUACAUGAAUUGCAUAAUAGAGAUACAAGCAAGAAUCAUUAAGUUCUAUGAAAAACAUAAGCAUUGACGAGGCACUCGUUACUAUGAUUUGCAUGAAACUUAUGCCAAGAAUUUACUUAACGUGAUUGUGACUAGCAACCUUCACUACUUGUGAAUAUAAGUUCAUAACGAUUAGGUGAAACUCCCUUAUAUUCUAGCGUCAAAAUUCAUGCAAUGAAAAUUAAGCGUUCACUCUCAACCAACAUACACAAAUCAGUUUUUAUACGAACGGAUAAGUAAAUUGAAUUCACAACUUAUGAAUCACAACUGGAUGUAAUCAAAUCAUAUUGUAAGCAUGAACAUAGUUUCAAAUCACCCCUAACUAAGAGGGGUUUAGUUCCUCAUGCUUCGCAAUUACACAAAGAUAACUCAAAUUAAACAUUGAAAUCAAAGAUAGAAAACACCUAGAAACGCUCCAACACUCCCAAGGCUUGGGCAUAGGCACGGCACAAGAUGUUCCUUCUCCUUCCUUCCUUGCAAUAGUCACGGCAUAAGAGAGUUAGAACAGGUUUUGGGUGGUUUUUAUGGUGUAGAAUGGAUGGGGAAUGGUAUGGAAAGGUUUAGGGUUGAUGGGUGGUGUGGCUAGGGGUGGUGUUUGGCUGAAUUUUUAGAGAAUGGUGAUGGAGAGGUGCGGCUAAGGUAAGGGAUCAAAAUCUGUUUUCUUUGAUGAAUAUGAGAGGUGGUAUUUAUAGGUUUGAGAGAGGACCACUCCAUUUCCUUUGCAUGUGAGCUUGUGUGGGUGUGAGUUGUCAUGUUUCCCCUUUACAUUUACACACACAUGCUUCAUCAUUUCACCACAAAACACACCAUAAUUUCUGCCAUGCCGUGUGCUCCAUGUGCUUGAUGCUGCCAUGUUCUUUUCUUUCCAUGUGUUUGCUUUCUUUGCCAUGUGUUUGCUGCCAUGUUCUUUGCUUUACCAUUACACUUGCACACACACAUGUUCUUUGCAUCAUUUCAACCACAAAACACACACAUGCUUCAUCAUUUCACCACAAACACACACCAUAAUUUCUGCCAUGCCGUGUGCUCCCAUGUGUGUGUGCUGCAAACAUUUUUUUCUUUGCCAUGUGUUUGCUGCAAACAAGGGGUUUAUUUAAAGGGAUAAAGGAAUAAAACCCUAGGUUAACUAGGUAAACAGAAAUUAAGUCUAAAGCUUCUACAAUUUAGGGAAACAAAUCAGAAAUUUAAAGGGAAUAAGCUAAAAUGUGUGGCAAGGCUUUGUAGUAGAUUAGGAAAGUGUUUAAAUGCAAGAUUUAGGAAAGAAUGACUCUUCCCUUGCACGGCAAGGAAGAGUAAUGGCAAGGGUGGAGCACACGGUUGGUUGCUUAUUUUUGAACACUUCGUUCUUUAUUUGUCUUGAAUCCAAUUCUUCACAUCAUCAUUCAAUCCUAUGCUCAUUUGAUCUUCAAAUUUCGUUCGUCUUCUUACCUCCAAGCAUAUGCAAUCCAUUUGAUAAACAAAAACUGCUCAAACGACUCCAAAAUGCACAUGUAUGCAUACUUUGUCCUUAAAACCUGAAAAACAUAUAAAAGUGACUUUAAACACUUAAAAUAACUAAAGAAACACAACGUAAACGCACGAGAACAAGACAAUUAAGUCGCAUAAAUAUGCUCCUAUCAGUGCACUAAGUUGAUCUCUUCUGAUGUAACCAUUGCCAUAGGGGGUUGGAAAUUUCAUCAACAACAAAUAUGUGUGGAUACCAUGGCCUUGAAGAUCAUUGAUGUCUGUGCGUCCGAAGAUGACAUUGUAUGUCGUUGGACAAUCAACCACCAGGAAGUUAGUGGUAAUGGUAGCUGUGUAAGAGCCUAUACCAAUGGUGAAAGGUAAGUGUAUGCUCCCCAAAGGUUGCACGAUAUCACCGGAAAAGCUUAUCAGAGAGGAAAUCGAGCGAUCGAGCAAGUGUUCAGCUAUAUUAAGUGCCUUGAAAGCUUCAGCAAACAUGAUAUUGACCGAAGCCCCCGUGUCUACCAGGAUUCGUAGUACUUCAAAGUUUGCUAUGUAAGCUUCCACGAUCAGUGGGUCGUUGUGAGGGUAGAUGAUACCUCUUUCUUCCUCAGGGUAGAAACAUAUUGGAUCCCGGUUAGGCUUUUGAUACUUACCUCCCCUGAUGUCUUCCACGUGAAACACUUGGUGGCCAGACCUUAAAGCUCGUUCACUAUUUUUUAUGGCCCUGUUGGAAGAUUUAGAUAUGGGUGUGCCACCACUUAUGGAAUAUAUCACAUUCACCUGCAUUGGUUACGGUUACCCCUUGGAGGGUGAACGAGGAAUUGAUCAAUUUUUCCUUCAUGUGCCAAAGCUUCAAUAUGAUCACGAAGGGUGAUACACUUCUCGCCGUCAUGGCCAUUAUACUUGUGGUAGCAGCAAAAUGUGCCCGUGUUCUUCGUGGGCUUGUAAUCCGGGUGCCUCGGCUUUGGCUUCAGUAUCAAGUGUGAUAUGCUGGGGUAAAUGGCCACGCAUAUGGCGUUCAAGGGUAUGUAUGCCUCAUACCUCGGGGUAGGGGUUGUCCUGACACGUGCUUGACCCAUUGUGUUGACUGUCUGGGGUCGAGGAUUAUCAUGGCGAUACCCUUGGUUAUCGCGGUAGUGUCCCUUACUCCUUUUAUUAAAAUGAGACUGAUGAGGAUGGAAAUCUUUCCUUUUGCCCUGAAAUUGAUAUGUCUGUUGACUUGGCAAAGUAUUAAGUAAGGCAGGGGGAGACAUUGCUGCCGUUUAGAAGGUUGAGGUCUUCUCAUUUGGUUGGAUCUGGCUUCCACUCCCUACUUGCUGAUAAAUGGUGGUUGUGGGGGGUUUCCCUUGAUAUGUCCUUGCCUCGGCGGAGGCCUGGUUGUAAGCCUGUACCAUCACCUCAGAGUAAGUCUUCCAAGUGUUGGCAUUGAUCAUGUACUUGAAGAAACAGUCACAUAGGCCUGCCGUGAAGGCUUUGAGGGCAGUCUUGUCGUCUGCCUCGGCACAACGGGAAUACUCAUGGCUGAAGCGGCCAACAUACAUAAGUAAUUACUCGUCUGGCUUCUGGCGAAUAGUGUACAAGUCAUCUGCAGAAUGCAAGCGAUCGGUCUAGAAGAUGUGUUGAGAGACAAACAGUUUCCUCAGUUCCUCAAAUGAGUCUACUGUCGUAGGUCGAAGACGGCAAUACCAGUUUAGAGCUCCGCCAGAAAAGGUGGAGGGGAAGAGAAGACAUCGCUCUUCAUCGGUGUGCAUCCGAUAUGCCAUGGUGGACUCAAAGAGGUUAAGGUGUUCGAGGAUCCUCCUUGUGAGAGGGCUAGGCCUGGGUUGGUUCCAGUCAGGUAUCUCGGCCUGACGUUCGGCCUUCAACUUGUUUACUUCCUCAAGGAGCUGUAGGACAAGGGGGUCCUGAGUGGAGUCAUGUACCACUGGGAUUUUCUUUCGUAAGUCUCCAUCGCCUCUUGGAAGUAGGAAAGUUUGAGCAAGGGCGUGUGAUUUUUCCUUGGAAUCGCCGUACUGACUUCUAGGUCGAGUUUGUCGGAAUACCUAAAAGUCUCAUGUACCUUCACGUUUCUCUGAAACCUGUCGUUCCUUCUCUAGAUUAGCAGCUGGCCUGGGUCGUGAGAGGGGACCGAGUCUUUCAGAAACCCUUGGGUCAUUGAUCUUCGAGCAUAUGUGGAGGGGAUUCUCUCGACGUUGCUUUAGGAAGUCUCGGCAGUCACGAUAAUUGGCUUUCGAUCCUUCCAACCCUUCUACAAGGAAGUGUCUUCCUCCAUUUCUCCUGCUUCGGGUCGAAGCAGCUGGGUUGAGAAAAGUCUCAUGUUGAUCAAUGUUUUGAUGAUUAGCUCGCUCAUCAUCAGGGAUACCCAUGUUGAAGGAAGGUGACCUUCCAUGUUGGGGGGCACCCAGGUGAUGAUUGAUGUCCACAGGGGUAACGAGCUCGCAUGUUUAAGUACGCCUAGCUUCGUGGAGCGUCUCAAAGAGAGGACCUCAUUCUUCAUUGCUAUCUUGUUGUUCUGAGCUUCUAGCUCAUCGACUUUAGCUUGAAGAGCAACCCUCUUUCGUUGCUUCGCACUAGGUGCAAGAGGGGUCUCAUUCUGUGUGCUGUGGCUUCCUUCGCUCCCCAUGUCGGAGAGGGAUGCCUGGUCAAAAGAAAGUGUAUGAAUGGUGGAAACUAGCUUGACAAAGUUGAAGAGAAUGGGAAUAAGUGUCGUUUCCCACAGACGGUGCCAAAUGUUGAUGCACAAAAUCAGUGAGGACUUUGGUACAACAGAAAGUGUUAAGUUUGUGACCUUUGCUAGAUUGCUCCGGUCACUAGUGUGGAUAAGUAUGUAAAUGGAUAGAGACAGGGAAGCAAACACAAGAUGUAUGUGGUUCAUCCAGAUUGGCUACGUCCACAGAGUAGAGAAGUUCUCAUUAAUUAUGAAGGGUUUACAUAAGUACAUAGGUUCAAGCUCUCCUUUAGUGAGUACAAGUAAAUGAUUUAGUACAAAUGACAUUAGGAAAUAUUGUGAGAGAAUGAUCUCUAUUUAUAGAAGAGAGUUUCUAGUUUCAUUCUGACAUUGACACGUGUCGUGUUGUGAUUGGCUUCUGAUGUUGACACGUGUCGCGCUAUGAUUGGCUUCUGAUAUCGACACGUGUCGCGCUAUGAUUGGCUUCCUGGUUGGAGGGAAACUCUUCUGGGUCCUUGACGGUAUAACGUUGACCGGUGCUCAGUAGUUUCGGGAUUGGUUAAGUAUGGUACAAACAUAACUAUUAGCAACCAUAGAGAUAUGUUGGAGCUUAUUAAGAAGCUCUUGUUCUGACAAACCAUCUAUAUUCCAUUCAUAGAGUUUAUCAGAAGAGACUGAGAAUUGAUUUUGAAUAUUCCUUUCUUCAAAUUGAAUAUUAGGAGGAGUUGGUCUGGGAUACCAGUUUUUUAUGAGAGAUGUUGGAUUGACUUGUCUGUUAUUAAUUCUUUUAAGUUCAGGAUUUUGAAAAGCUUGUUCAACUUUUCAAAGAGAAUCCGAACCAGUUUCUAAUUCAGAAGAUGUAAGAGAUAAUUCUGAUCGAGAAUUAUCAGGAUGGUUUAUGGUUUGGACAGUUUUUUCUCUCUUUAAUUCAAGUAAUAAUUGAUCAAUUUUCUGACUUGUGAAAGUCGAGAAUGAUUUCAAAGCUACUGCCUUUGAAAAAGAUUCUGGGAAAUUAACCAAGGGCUUUUCCCUGAUUGUGGAAUUUGUUUGAGAAAUCUUAUCAAUUUUAGUUUCAAUUUUAUCUAAUUGUUUUUCAAUUGUAUGGAGACUUUGAUUAGUAAAAUUGUUUUGUUCAAUGAUAGGUUUGGUUCCUGCAUCUUCUUUCGGGAUUUUAAAAGGAGUUGCUGGAAUCUGCUUAUUAGCAAUUGUGAUUAGAAUAGUUUCUUGUGGAGGAUGACUAGAAGAGACAAUAGUCUUGUCUUCUCUAAGAAAAAUACUUCAAAUAUGUGUGUUUCCAUGAAUUCAUUCCAAUUUUUAUAUAUUUCUAAUUUUUCUUCUUGGGUAUAUUUAAUUUGAAAAAUAUUCCUUCGUGGAAUAUUCUCUUCGGCUACAAUAUCAGCAUUGAGCUUUUUGCUAUUCUUUUUAAAUGGUUUGUUUAGGACUAAAAUUGAUGAUGAACAUGACUUGCUUCAAAGUCAGAUUUAGUAGGAGAAGUUUGUCCUCCUCGAUUUUGGGUUUGGGGUUGGUAAACCGGAUGAGUAACCUGAGAGGUUGUUUCUACUGAUUUUAGCUUGAUAUUAAUCAAAUCAUUGAUUAAUUCUUGUUGGGUGACUGAAGAACUAGUGUCUACUGACUUUAAUUUCCCAUCCGCUAAUGAAUUGAUUAGUUCUUGAUCUUGACCCAUCCUAUCGGUUGGUAUGGAUCCAGAAAAAGAAUUUUUGGUAGGAGCAAAUGAUUUAUGUGAGUGAACUGACUCACAUGACCUUCUGGCUGGAAGAUCAAAUUGAUUUUGACAGUUCCGUCAAAGUAUUGUUCUAUGUUGUCUAAAUUAACUAGACUGUUUUGGAUAGCUACUGGCUUACUUUCAUUAAUCAAACACCAAUUUGAAAGGAGACUGAUAUCUGACCACCUAAUGGUUUUUGGAACUUUAAUGUUUGCAUUUUCUUGAUUGGUUUGGAUUAAAAGUGUAUGAUUUCUCGGACUUUUAGUUAAAGCCUAAAAGUUCAUGUUUAUGCCAGUGACUUUGUAAUAGACUCGAUAAAUUAAUGCCAAGGGCUGUGUUCCUUCAAGGACCUGAUAUCCUGAAGUUUUGAUGUUUAAAGUGAGUGCUUUCAGCAUGUACGGGUCUGAAAGACUUAUGUUGAGAUCUGGAAAGCAAUCAAAAUGGAUAGGUCCAUUAUAUAAGCUUGACUCAAUCAUACCAAGCAUGCUAUCACUAAAGUUAGUGAAUCUAGCAUCUCGGAGACAUAACAAAAUAGAGGUAUUAAGGCCUCUUCAUGUUAAUGGUUUUACGGCUAUUUGAACUAAGCCUAUGUGAAUAUAGUUAUGACCAUAUUUCCUAUAGGAUUUAAUUUGUUCUAGAGAAAACAACUGACAGGUCUCAUAUUCUUUACUAAGAGCAUAAGCCUUUUCAACUGUCUUAAUGUGAUGUUCACUACUAAAUGAGGCUACUGACCAUUUCUUUUGUAAAUAUUUUUACUUGAAACCUUGGGGAUAUUUCAAUCUCCAAAGUCAACACUUUCAUCAGUUUGAAAAUCAAGUUUUUGUUCUUCAUUGACAAUAUCAGGUAUAACGCCUAAACUGGACCUAGAGCUAGUGCUGGCCAUUGAAUUAGAUCUAAAUAAUCUACUCAUAGAGUUCAUAAAUCAAACAAUCAAAAUACAGAAAACUUACAUUGAUUCACCUUCCUCGUGUGUAGGCUAAACCCCUUCCCCGCUCAAGCGAUCCGCUUAUGCCUCUCAUGGGUCUUAUUGUUUGGAACACGCCUUACUGUUUGGUUGGGGAGUUGAUCAAACGACUAUGAGGACCUACAUAUAAGUUAGAUUGUAGAUAAGAGUCUGAAAAAUGAAUUCUAAUUUGCAGAUUACAAAGAUGCUAAUACAAUUACCACUUACUAGGCUCUGAUACCAAACAAUAUGCGGAAGUCAAAAUGACAAUAGAUAACAAGAUAUAACCAUAAUUGGUGAUUAUCAACUUUACCUUAACGUUGAAAUGCUCAAUGGGAAUUGAUACUAUAGUUGUAACUGAAGCCAAGAUGAUUCUGAUCAAAAGAAUAAUAAUAAAGAUAAAUGAACCAAUGGUUUUUAUAAUUAAAUUCUUUUCAUAAUUAAUUUCAAUGAAAAUAUUAUCCAUAAUGAAUUUUAUGAAUUUAAAUUAAUGAUGCACUUAGAUGUUUGAAAAUAAUUUUAUUUCAAAUCGGAAGCCGACUUACAGUUUCGUCUACUGACGAUUAAUGAGAAAAACAGUGAUGCUCGCAGGCAUCCUUGAUUUAAAAUUACAAGUGUUCGAUAUUUUUGGUGAUGGAGCUGAACUAUGACUUAUGUUCUUAGAAUUCGCAGAGAGUCUCAGCUGUUUGACUAGAGUCCCCUUCCUCCGUGAAAGAGCUCUUCUUUUGUAGGAAGAGGUGAGAUGAUUGAGAUCCGGGAAUCCCGCUGCUGAAUGACUUAUGCAUGUGCCAAAGGCUGUAAAGGUUGGUGAGUGAUGAUGUUUUUCCUGUGUAAGCACGUUGAUGUUGGCUAGAAUGAUGGAUGAAUAGUAAAAAGUGAUUUUUACUAUUCAUAAAUAGUGUUCUAUCAGAAUGUUUGCUGUUACUGCUGAUGCUGCAUUUACUGAGAAAAUCACAUGGCUUCUAUUGUGCGAUUUGCAUGGGUAAAAACUAAAAAUGAUUACCAAUCAUUACAUUUUGAAUUAAUACAAAUCAAAUGGGUCUUGGGCAUCUUAGUAAUCUACCCACUUGGCUGGUUGAGACGAAGCGUCUGAUGAGUCGGAACUGGAUUCUUCAUCACUGUCACUUUGCAGCAAAGCUGCUUUUGCUAUGAGCUUAUCUGCCAUUUUCAAAAGUUGUGAGGAUUUCCCUUUCUUCUUCAAACUUGAAGUUUUAGAGGACUUGGAUGACUUUGGUUGUUUUCCUUUUAAGGAUGAUGAAGGACUAAUGUCUUAUAAAGACUGGGAAUUUUCUGGGAUUUAUGGCAAUGCCUGUGUUGAUGUUAUUGGUGGAGACACCAUUGGAAUAGGUUCAGCUAGGAAUUCUAAUAAGACUAAGCUGAUUAUUUUUCUGUAGUCAAAUUUGCCCACCAUUUAACCCAUCGGGCUCUAUAAAUUUGAUCUGUUUCAUAUUCAUAGUUCCAUUUAAAAGUCCAAGGGACCUUAUAUUUUACCAUAAACAAUGAGAAAACAGUGAUUCUGUCGUCGAAACGGCUUCUGUCAAAAUGCUUCUGGAAACCAGAUGAAAGGAAUUGUAAGAGUUCUUCUGGUAGUAAGCUAGCUGUUGGACCGUGAGUUGACCACCAAUUUGGAAACCAAGCUGGGAAGUUUUACCUGAAACUCUUAUCAAAUGUAACGAACCAAGAAUGACUAAAGUCGGGUGAUUGGUGUAAGAAUAUAUUGGUCCAUGCUUGAAUGUAGUCAAAAUAACUAUAUUUGUUGUCUGGGAUGAGAUCAUGUUUGGUAUGAAGUUGUUUGGUAUGAUAGAGGGGGAUUCCUCAUUCUUGCUCAGUAAGAAAUCUUCCAAUAUGGAUUGAAUGAUAAAGGAUUUUAUUUUGAUGGGUAGUGCUGUAAAUGGGUUUGAUAGAAAUGCUUUUGGUCUCAUUGAGAAUUGCUUGAUAAAAUUGGAGAGUUUUGAAAGAUUCAUUUGGAAUAUGAUGGAAAUUUGGAGGUAAGAUUGAUUUGGCUAUUUUUUCUGGUACUUGUUUUUUGUUGAUAUGGUUAGGGAUAUAGAAGAGAUAUUCCAAAGGAUUUUUCUUGACAUAUGGGAAGGUUUUAGCAAAGCUAGGUGUUCUGGGGGUUAAGGGCGAUGGCAUUGAUGAAUAUGGGUCAUAAGGAUUGGCUAAGGCCGUUUAAUAGUUUGGUCGGAAUUGACCUACAGUUAAGGUAUAAAAUAUCGACAUUAUUGGCGAAAUAUCGCUGAUAAUAUCGUUUUUUUUGCAACAGCGAUAUUUUCACAUGCUUCCAAUAUCGAUAAUAUUGCGAUAUUAUCAAUAUUAUCAAUAAUAUCGCUCUCUCUCCGUCGUCGGAACGGCAGCCAAGCUUCAUCGUCGCAGCUGCCAAGAUCUAUGCCUCUAUUUGCCAAGAUCUGCGCCUCUUAUAGGUGGUGAUGGUGCUCGCCGGAGUGUGCGCCACUAUGGUGGAGGUCACGGUGGGGUGGGUGUGGUGUGUCUUCCUUCCGCUCGCUCGCUCCCUGUCUGUUCUUUCUGCGGUGGUGAACGAAUGACUUCUGCUGCUGUGCAGUGCAGCAGAUCAAACUAAUUUGAGCUUCACACUAACACGGAGAGAGAGAUCCGAGACUUACCUAUCCGGAAAAUCAAAGAAGACUCGCCGGAGAGUUUAUGGGCUCCGCCAUUCUCGCAGAGGCGGGAGAGAGAAGACUGAUGAUGUGUGAUGAUGGUGGUGUCCUCGAGCUGCUCAAGUCGAGCAGAUGGUGCUGCUACGCGUGUGUGUGGUCACGGCAAGAGAGGGAGAGAGGUAAGAGGGUUUUGAGAGAGAGAGACAAUGCAGAGAAGAGAAAGAGAGAGAGAAAGUCGAAGUGAGUGAGAGAAGGAAAUGGGGUCUCGGGGUUGGGGAGAGAGAGAGAAACGUGAAGAGUGUUGGGGGUUGCCACGUGGCAGCCUAAGAUGGUUUCGAAAUCCAGACAUUGAGUUCAAAUUUAAUUAGUAUAAAGGACUAAUUUGAUAGUUCCAAAUACACUCACAAUGUUUGCCAGCUCGUUAUAUAAUCAACUUAAAUCAGUUAAAUCCAUCAUGAAAUGCAUUUCCUUCCAAUUUUUUGUGAUAAACUAAUAAAUAAUUGACUAAAUAAACAUCCUGCAAAGUUUCAAUAAAAAUUUCCGAGUUUUUCUUACAAUUUCCGUGGUUUUUAUUCUAUUUUUAUCGAUAUCGAUAAAAUCCCAAUAUUUCCAUCGAUAUUUCCGUGUUCUUAGACUACCGAUAUUUCCGAUAUCAUCGAUAUUUUAUACCUUGCCUACAGUUGAACCUAAGGGAGUAAAUCUGUUGGUGACGGCUAAGGCCGAUGAUGAAGAAUCGGGAAUAGAUUCCUUUUUUACUGGUGGUGGAGGUGGAAGAGUGGCUGGAAACCUUCUCUAACUUGAAAAAUAGAUAGUUCAGAUCGUUGAAGUUUGAUGUGGUGUAGACUCCACAACUAAUUUUUAUUUUUAUUUUCCUUCCAAGAACUAUUCGUUGAACUAGCAAGGAAAACAAUUCAAAGCACGACAACCUGAAGAAUGUUAAGGUUCUAUCGUGAAACCAAUUAUUAAUAUGGAGAGUAGCCUAACUACUUAUAAGCAUAAUUUUUUUUUUCCGAUGUGAGAUUCAUACUCUUACCAUGUCCCCUCCUAUGUGGCUAAUUUUCAAGCUAUAAUACAUGAACUACACAAAUUAGGUGAUGCAGAACACAUGUCAUUUUUAGAUUUCACACAUGAGAUAAUCUGUGCUGAUACAAUGACGAAAGUUGAGAUUUCACCAUAAAACAAAUUGUUAAUAUAGGGAGCAGCUCAACUACUUAUAAGUAAUGCAAGGUCCAUUCUUUUCUUGAUGUGAGAUUUAUACUCUAAACAAAAACGUCAUAACCCAACACAAAAUUGUCAUUAAUAAGAAACAACAACAACAACAACAAAGCCUUUUCCCACUAAGUGGGGUCGGCUAUAUGAAUCCUAGAACGCCAUUGCGCUCGGUUUUGUGUCAUGUCCUCCGUUAGAUCCAAGUACUCUAAGUCUUUUCUUAGAGUCUCUUCCAAAGUUUUCCUAGGUCUUCCUCUACCCCUUCGGCCCUGAACCUCUGUCCCGUAGUCACAUCUUCGAACCGGAGCGUCAGUCGGCCUUCUUUGCACAUGUCCAAAUCACCGGAGCCGAUUUUCUCCCAUCUUUCCUACAAUUUCGGCUACUCCUACUUUACCUCGGAUAUCCUCAUUCCCAAUCUUAUCCUUUCUCGUGUGCCCACACAUCCCACGAAGCAUCCUCAUCUCCGCUACACCCAUUUUGUGUACCUGUUGAUGCUUCACCACCCAACAUUCUGUGCCAUACAACAUCGUUGGCCUUAUUGCCGUCCUAUAAAAUUUUCCCUUGAGCUUCAGUGGCUUACGACGGUCACACAACACGCCGGAUGCACUUUUUCCAUCCAGCUCGUAUUCUAUGGUUGAGAUCUCCAUCUAAUUCUCCGUUCUCUUGCAAGAUAGAUCCUAGGUAGCGAAAACGGUCGCUUUUUGUGAUCUUCGCUAGAUUGCUCCGGUCAUUAGUGUGGAUAAGUAUAUAAAUGGAUAGAGAUAGGAAAGCAAACACAAGAUGUACGUGGUUCACCCAGAUUGGCUACGUCCACGGAAUAGAAGAGUUCUCAUUAAUUGUGAAGGGUUUACACAAGUACAUAGGUUCAAGCUCUCCUUUAGUGAGUACAAGUGAAUGAUUUAGUACAAAUGACAUUAGGAAAUAUUGUGGGAGAAUGAUCUCGUAAUCACGAAACUUCUAAGUAUCGGAGUGUGGUGUCGUCUUGACUUGCCUUAUCUGUCUCAUAGGUAGAUGUGGCAUCUUCUCUGGAAGUACUCUUCCUCCAUCAGGGGUGGUAUCUUUAACUGGUGGAGAUGCACAAGGUAAUGUAUCAAUUUCACUUGAAGCUUACUUGUAGUUUCAGGCUUGGUCAAGCGCGAUACAAACCAUGUAGUAGGAGUCUCCCAAGUCGCCGAGCUAGGGGGUCUGCUGAAAGAGGUGACAGACAAGGUAAGCAAUCAGAGAGCUCCGACUGAUUGUUCACCUUCUCCCCAUCUUGCAGCAGCAUGAAGGAUAAAGAGAAGAAAAAUGAGAAGAGAUGAUAUGAGAUACUUUUGCUUUUGAAGAAGUAACUUUCCACAGGCUUAUUCUUGAACUGAGCUGGAGGGUUUUCUGGUUUCCUCCAGAGUAUAAGGCCGACUGAAGAAUUUGAGGGUCAAAACAAGUCCAUCAAAUCUAGAGUACGUUCCACCCUGCUGAUAUGGGAUACUUUUGCUUUUGACAGAGUAAUGGAUGUAUCGGCACGUGUGCUGUUACGCUUGUCUCCACAUGCUUCCUUGUAUCCUUCGCACUUGCCCUAUCUGUUCCUCAAGCAGAUGCGGAAUCUUCCCUGGAAACAUAAGAUGUUGAAGAUGAGUACUCGAGAGCAAUGCCAGGUAAGUAAUCAGGUAAGGGGUUCCAGGCAGUCACUUCCUGGUUGGAAGCUUGAUUCAAAGUGCUGACUGAUUGCUCUCUUUCUCCUUGUCUUGCAGGUAAAAACAAGGCCAAAAGAAAAGACAGGGAAAAAGCAUGAUAUGGGAUACUCUUGCUUUUAACCCUGAUGAUAUGAGAUAUUCUUGCUCUAGUAUAGCUUGUUUGCAGAGGUAUUAUCGGGGGGAAAGAAAGCUGAAUAUUUCGAAAGGCUUCGUUGGGAGUGCCCUCUCAGAUAUGAUGAAGGGUUGAGCAUUUUUGCAGGUCUGCCUGUCCGUUGGGGAUGGAGGUCGACAUAUAUAGGAGUCUCCCUAACAACAAGUAGUAAUGCUAUUCAUUUACCCUGCUUGGUCAUAGCACGGUAGUGGGAGCUGCCAGUUUCACAUGUUUUAACUCUGUCAGAGCACUUUGAAAAAAAGUGGUAUGUGGUAUCUGGCUCUCGAGAUUCAGAGAACGAUGCCUCUUCGAUUUUUGAGAAAGCAAUCAUGAUGGGGGUCUGACUCUCGAGAUUCGGAGAGCAGUGUCUCUUCGAUUUUUGAGGAAGUAAUCAUGUUGGGAGUCUGGCUCUCAAGAUUCGGAGGGCGGUGCCUCUUCGAUUUUGGAGCAAGCAAUCUUGUUGGGAGUGUUGUCUCGAAUGUGAGUAAAGGUUGGACAUGUUUGCUAGUCUACCUUGCCACGAAGCACAAAGGUUGACACACAGGGACUUUCCAAUUAUCCAGCAAUGGUACUGUUCCUUUACCCUCUCUUCGAUUUUGAGAAAGUAGUCAUGUUGGGAGUCUGGCUCUCGAGAUUCGGAGGACGGUGCCUCUUCGAUUUUGGAGCAAGCAAUCUUGUUGGGAGUGUUUUCUCGAAUGUGAGUAAAGGUUGGGCAUGUUUGCUAGUCUACCUUGCCACGAAGCACAGAGGUUGACACACAGGGACUUUCCAAUUAUCCGUACUGUUCCUUUACCCUUGUGGGUAAUAAUAUGGUAGCUAGACCUUCAAAAUUUAUGUGUCUAAACUUUGUUAGUGCUGUUUCUUUGCUAUUCUUUUACCUUUCUUGGUCAGAGCGAUGUAGUGGGAGCUGCAAGCUUACGUGCUCAACUUUGGCAGAGAACUUUGGCAAAGUUAUCUAUGGUACCCAUGAGUUAUUGUUGCGUGUGGGAAGUGGGUGAUUGAACAGUAAGAUUCAUGUGCUUUCUACUUCACCAGAAGUCUUCGACAAAAAUGCCCAUAAUUUCUGCAAAGCUGAGUGUGCGUGUGACAGGUGCUGACAAGGCUAGAAAAGUAGGUGCCUCUUCGAUUUCUGAGAUCGGCCCUCGUGGUCUCUGAGCAGCCCAGCUUUUGAGAAAGCGAGCGCCUCUUCAAUUGAUUCGGAGAACGAUGCCUCAUCGAUUUUUUGAGAAAGCAAUCAUGCUGGGGGUCUGGCUCUCGAGAUUCGGGGAGCAGUGUCUCUUCGAUUUUUUGAGAAAGUAAUCAUGUUGGGAGAGUGGCUCUCGAGAUUCGGAGGGCGGUGCCUCUUCGAUUUUGGAGCAAGCAAUCUUGUUGGGAGUGUUUUCUCGAAUGUGAGUAAAGGUUGGGCAUGUUUGCUAGUCUACCUUGCCACGAAGCACAGAGGUUGACACACAGGGACUUUCCAAUUAUCCAACAGUGGUACUGUUCCUUUACCCUUGUGGGUAAUAAUAUGGUAGCUAGACCUUCAAAAUUUAUGGGUCUAAACUUUGUUAGUGCUGUUUCUUUGCUAUUCUUUUACCCUUCUUGGUCAGAGCGGUGUAGUGGGAGCUGCAAGCUUCACGUGCUCAACUUUGGCAGAGAACUUUGGCAAAGUUAUCUGUUGGUACCCAUGAGCUAUUGUUGCGUGUGGACUACUUCCCCAGAAGUCUUUGACAGAAUGCCCAUAAUUUCCGCAAAGAUGAGUGUGGCGUGUGACAGGUGCUGACAAGGCUGGAAAAGUAGGGCGCCUCUUCGAUUUCUGAGAUCGGCCCUCGUGGUCUCUGGGGAGCCCAGCUUUUGAGAAAGCGAGCGCCUCUUCGAUUUCUGAGAUCGGCCUUCGUGGUCUUUGAGCAGCCCAACUUUUGAGAAAGCAAACGCCUCUUCGAUUUCUGAGAUCAACCCUCGUGAUCUCUAAGCAGCCCAACUUUUGAGAAAGCAAACGCCUCUUCGAUUUCUGAGCAGGCGCCUCUUUCGAUUUCUGAAGCUCCGUCGAGUGCAGAUUUUUAUAGGGGCUGGCAUUAAGUUCCAAAGCACACUUGAAUCUCCACCAGUAGAAGCUUCAUUCUUGCACUUCUAAGAUCUUGAUUUGUCCGACCUCUUCUCUCUUCAACACCUUUGAAAAUGUCUGGCCCCUCCGACCGUCGUUUUGACUUGAACCUUGUUGAAGAGGCAGCCCCGCCUUCUCCAGACAACAUAUGGCGCCCAUCCUUCGUCUCCCCAACUGGUCCUCUUACCGUUGGGGAUUCCGUGAUGAAGAAUGAUAUGACCGCUGCGGUGGUGGCCAGGAACCUUCUCACUCCCAAAGAUAACAGACUACUUUCCAAACGGUUUGAUGAGUUAGCUGUUAAGGAUUCGCUGGCUCUCAGUGUUCAGUGUGCAGGUUCUGUGUCUAAUAUGGCCCAACGCCUAUUUGCUCGAACCCGCCAAGUUGAAUCAUUGGCGGCUGAAGUGAUGAGUCUCAAACAGGAGAUUAGAGGGCUCAAGCAUGAGAAUAAACAGUUGCACCGGCUCGCACAUGACUAUGCUACAAACAUGAAGAGGAAGCUUGACCAGAUGAAGGAAACUGAUGGUCAGGUUUUACUUGAUCAUCAGAGAUUUGUGGGUUUGUUCCAAAGGCAUUUAUUGCCUUCGUCUUCUGGGGCUGUACCGCGUAAUGAAGCUCCAAAUGAUCAACCUCUGAUGCCUCCUCCUUCUAGGGUUCUGUCCAGUACUGAGGCUCCAAAUGAUCCCCCUCCGGUGCCUUCUCUUUCUGGGGGCUCUACCGACUGCUGAGACUUCUCCUAAGCAACCUUUGUGAAGGCUCCCUCUUGUGUGUUUAUUUUGACUCAUGUAUAUGUACAUAUUUGUAGCUUAUCGGGGAUAUCAAUAAAUAAGCUUUCCUUCAUUUCAACGUAUUGUGUUAAAUACACCAAAGUCUUCUUCGCUAAGUUCUUUGAAUUUUCUUUUGUUGAAGCUUGUAUGUUGAAGCUUUCUGAGUGGAGCAUGUAGGUUAGGGUAGUGUUCCCUUAAUUUCCCGAGUGAGGAAAACUUCUCGGUUGGAGACUUGGAAAAGUCCAAGUCACUGAGUGGGAUCGGCUAUAUGAAUCUUAGAACGCCAUUGUGCUCGAUCCUGUGUCAUGUCCUUCGUUAGAUCCAAGUACUCUAAGUCUUUUUCUUAGAGUCUCUUCCAAAGUUUUCCUAGGUCUUCCUCUACCCCUUCGGCCCUGAACCUCUGUCCCAUAGUCGCAUCUUCUAAUCGGAGCGUCAGUAGGCCUUCUUUGCACAUGUCCAAACCACCGUAACCGAUUUUCUCUCAUCUCUUUCCUUCAAUUUCGGCUACUCCUACUUUACCCCGGAUAUCCUCAUUCCUAAUCUUAUCCUUUCUCGUGUGCCCACACAUCCAACGAAGCAUCCUCAUCUCCGCUACACCCAUUUUGUGUACGUGUUGAUG